CUCCUUCUAUAUGCCACCCUUUUAAUUUACCGACCUCUGCAAAAGCAGUUUUCCAUUGUUGUACUCUAUCAGCUGGUUGCUCUGAUUCAUGCUCUUCGAAGGUUGUCUUAAAAUGCCCACCACUAUUUCGCACAUCGGAAGGAUCAACAUGGUAAAAGACGGGAAGAACAAUAUGUUUGUCAGUGGGAUUGUGCUUGCGAUCCAUGAUGUCAGAAAGUUCACCUAAGCAUGAUUCUGAAGAAGCAUAGGCUUUAGAUAAAACGAGGAUUGAGAGAUUUGAGGCCGAAAUUGCUCGAGAAUACGUUGGUGGAAGUUUCUCUCCUUUUUUCAGUGUUUCGUGAUCGGGGAAGACAUUAAUUCCUACUUUUUCCAAAGCAUUGACUAGGUGAUUGGAGAAGUUGAGGCGUGUGUCUUCACCUAAGCUUAAGAAAACUUGAUGCUUCAUCAACUUUUGCAUAACAUACGCAACAAUAUCCUUGAUGUACUGGGUUUCAGGUCUAGCAAAUAAUAGAAGAAGUAUAUAUAUGAAAUCCAAAACGAAGAUAAGUCAAAUAUAAGGAGAUGAGACAAAUAUAGUUACCUAUCCGAGAUGCUUCCAUCUAUAUGCCACCCUUGUAAUUUACCAACUUCAGCAAAAGCAGUUUUCCAUUGUUUCACUUCAUCGACUGACCUCCUUGUUUCAUGCUCAUCAAAGGAUUUCUUAAAACUCCCAUCAAUAUUCUCCACAUCAGAGGGGUUAACAUGGUAAAAGAUGGGAAGAACAAUUUGUUGUUCGACGCUAUAGCGGUCCAUGAUGUCAGAGAGUUCAAGCAAGCAUGAUUUCGAAGAGGCAUAGUCUGCAGACAAAACGAUGAUUGAGAUACUUGAGACUGCAAUUGCUCGAGAAAGUGCUUGUGAAAGCUGCUCCCCUUUUUCCAAUUUUUCUUCAUCGAAGAAAACAUCGAGUCCCUCGUCUUUCAAAGCUUGAAGUAAGUGAGUGGUGAAAUUAAGGCGCGUGUCUUCACCUCUGAAGCUCAAGAAAACAUGAUACCUCAUUAGAGUAGAAGACGAAGAAGAAGAAGCCAUGGAAGAGUAUUGAAGCAAAAGAGAGAAAAAUAUAGCGAGUGAGUUUUGCUUGGGUUGUGGUAUUAUUGUAAGAAGAAAAAGUGUAAAAUUUGCAUAAUCUUUGGUAUCCUUUUAUUAAAUGGGAAAGAGAGUGAAGGCCUUUUCCUUAUACUUGAGCUUAGCCAAUUAUCUUAGUCAACACCACCAGAGAUAGUCUAUUCUCCUUUUUAUCUUUUACCGACAAAAGUGGGAGUGUUUUCAUGGUAUUCUUAUUUGAACGAUUAAUAAAAUAUAAAUUUAAAAUCGCGAUUAAUUGAGUUUAGUUUACAGUUUUAUAAUAAAGUCCCUCGUGAUGUUUUAAAUAUUUUAAAUCAAGAUAAAGUUAAGGGUGCUUUUGAUCAAUUUAGUUUGAUGUAAUUUUUAUUUGUUUGUUUGUUUUUUACUAAAAAAUAUGUUAUUAUCUGAAAUCGAAUUGAAUUUUAUUUUUUAUUUAAUAUAUAAAUAAUUUUAACUUUUAUGAUAUAAAAAUACAUAUUUUAUAUUUUAAAUAGUGAAAGUAAUUUAAAAGUUUUUGAAAAAUUAUUGUAUGUUAGAAAUAUUUAUGAAAAUAAAUUUGAAAUUUAUCAAAUAAUAUUUAAAAGCCAUAAAACAAAACUUAUUUUAUCAAAAUAAACCUUAAAAAUCAAAACAAAAAAUUAAUAUAAGAAACUGUGAACCAAACCAAACCGAAUUAAACUAUAAUGGAUGGUUCAAAAAAUAUAAAUAACUCGGCCCUGUGAACCUCUUUGAAACUUCACUAUCUAUGAAAUUAGCGAAUUUGGAAAAGGGUCAAAUUUUGAUUUUGAGUCCUCCUACUAUUCUCAAAUUCGAGAUUUAGUCCUUUAACUUAAAAUAAUCUCUUUAUUUAUAUGUUGUUAUUAGUUUAUUCAAACAAGACAGUUCUAUUUCAAAUAAAAUUAAAAUUUUAGUACAUAUUAUUAUCAAAGUGAUAUAAUAUCUUGUAAAAGGUAACUAAAAUAAACAAAUAAAGAACAAAAAAAAUUGAGAGAGAAGUGAAGAUAAGGGCAUAGUUAACUUUUUCUAUGUUUAUUAAGAUAAAUCAUCUUAUGGAGCAAAUCCAAAAAUUAGUUUAGAGUCUACUGUUGGAGAGGAUAAUGAUAGUAGUUAUGGAUCAUCUGUUGGUGAUGAAAAUGCUGUUGAUUUUGCAUUAGAUGAAGUGAACAAUGUUGCGGUUGCAAUUAGUGGAAAAGAGGAGGAUGGGAAUAAUACUAAAACUGAGGUAUGGGACUUAGAUGAACAUGGCAGCUUGGUUGGGUUCAAUGAAGAUGAAGAACAUGAAGAUGGUGAGAGAAGAAGAAGCAAGUUUCUUUUAUACCAUGAUUGAUCUAAUCCGUUAAAAUUUAGUUUAGGAAUGUUGUUUAAAGAUGGCAAAUAGUUUAAGAGUGCAAUUCGAAACUACUCCAAAGAAUGUAGAAGACAACGGAAGUUUCUUAAGAAUGAAUCGAAAAGGGUUGUUGUGAGGUGCAUUGCUUCCCCUAACUGUCCAUGGAAAAUUUUGGCUAGCUACAAUCCUAUUGCCAAAUACUUGCAAGUAAAAACUUUUCGGGAGAAGCAUCAUUGUUUGGGUACUUCUGAGAACAAAAUGAUGAUUGCUGCUAUGAUUGCCCAACAUUUUGAAGCAAUUAUCAAUGAUCACUUUAAGAUGCAAAUAAGGAAAAUUCAAAGAAGAUGUGCUUCAGAGAUGCAUGUAAAUGUGAGCAUUCAGUGUUGUUAUAGAGCUAAGAAAGUAGUGAAGGAGAAAAUGGUUGGGAAUUACGAGGAAUUUGGUCAGUUAUAUGACUAUACUCAUGAGUUAAGGUCAAAGAUGUCAAGCAGCACAAUAAAAAUGGUUGUUCACAGUAGAUUCCCCUCCUCAUUUUAAAAGGUUUUAUCUGUGCUUUGAUACACUAAAGAGAGGCUGGAAAGUGAGGUGUAGGCCACUUAGUGGAUUAGAUGGUUGCUUCCUAAAAAGGCUAUUUAAGAGUGAAUUUCUCACAAUUGUUGGAGGGGACGCAAACAACCAGAUGUUCCCUAUUGCAUGGAUUGUGGUUUAAGUGGAAUACAUUGAUUCAUGGGCCUAGUUUCUUAGUCUCCUAUCAAUUGAUUUGGGCUUAGAGGAUGGGUAUGGGUUCACAAUUAUCAAGGACCAGCAAAAGGUUAGGGAAUUAACUAAUUUGGGCUUGGUAUUGUCUUUUUAUUUUGUUAAGUAUAAUUAACCAUACUUUUCUAACAAUCUAUCUGCUUCAUUAAACACAAUUAAGGCCUUUAGAUUGCAAUUUUUGACAUAUCACCAAAGGUGGAGCAUAGGAAUUGUGUGAGGGACAUGUUUGCAAAUUGGUCAGGAAGGAAGCUAUGGAAAUCCUAUGAGUAUGAUUUCUGGCAGAUUGUGAAUUCCACGACUGAGAAUGAGUGGGAGGAAUUAUGUGCAGCACUAUGUCCGACUUGACUUUCAUGAAAAUUUUAUGGAAACUACGGAUCACCGUCAUAAAAUUCAAAAUAAUAAAACAUAACAAAUAGAAAACACCUACUCCGAGAUCAAUAUAAAACCAUAUGCUAGAAGAUUAACCAAUCUCAAGCAUCUGUUGAUUAUAUAUUGGGAACAGUUGGUAGGUUUACCUUAUCUAACAUGAAUAUAAAUCAGAAAUCAUGAACUGAAAACAUAUAUAUUUACUAAGAUUUUAAGGAAAUAUGAAGCAUAAAUCAAUGGGUGAACGAAUCAUUGAAGUAAAAUGCAGAUAGUCUUGAGAUACAAUAUGAUUAAAUCUCUACUUACUUCCCAUGGCAUGAGCACCAAUGGUGGAAUAUAAAAAAUUAAGCUGAAUGAUGUCCACCACAGAUCCUAUGAAUCAAAACCAACCAAUAACAAGUCAAUUGCCAAAAGAAUUCAAGUAUGAAUCUUAAUAUCUCUUCACUGCAAUGCUUAAACAACAUGAGAGGCAGUAAUAUACAAAUAACUUUCAGCCCAAACUGAUAAGACAAUCAAAAUCCAAGGUAAGAAGCUAUCAACUCCAAUGGCUCUACCAUGGAACUAACCCGAUCUAGCUUGAGAAUGAAAACUGCCGAAGGUUGCAUCUAGCUCCACGUAUUCAUCCCACAAGUUUUGAGAUCUGUUGCAAAUUCUGGAUUUAUAUAAUCCCAUUGAUAAUAUGGGAAAACAUGGUGAGGAUGCUGACAAUCAUUAUAUGAACCUAAAAUCAUGAUAAUUAAGUCAAAGUCAAUGGUAACUUCUUCACCAAGACUGAAUUUGCCAGAACCCAGAAAGGGCCUCAAAAGAUUACUUUGAAGUUGUGUUCACAAAUCUGUUGACAACUGGCAUUGUCACCAAAUAUUAGUUAAAACAGUUGUAUAAAACAAGCAUUCAGCAAAACAAAUUGAAGCUCUUACAGUGCAGGUGCUCCUCCUUAUAUGGCUAAAGCUCCAAUUCAGCAGUGGCACAAAUAACCAAUCUUUCCAAUGAAUCUAGAUGUCAUUGAAGGAAAAUGCACACCAAUGCUGGAAACUAAACAAUGAAGCUGAAUCGAGUCCACCACUGGUCCUAUGAAUUAAAAAAACCAACCAAUAACAAGUCAACUGUCAAUACGAAUUAAGUAUGAAUCUUAAUAUCUGAAUUUUAAGAACACAGACACAACAGGGGGAUGAAGAAGAAGAAGAAGAAGAUUUCUCACAACUGUUGGAAGGGACGCAAACAACCAGACGUUCCCUAUUGCAUGGGUUGUGGUUGAAGUGGAAUACAUUGAUUCAUAGGCCUAGUUUCUUAGUCUCCUAUCAACUGAUUUGGGCUUGGAAGAUGGGUAUGGGUACACAAUUAUCAGGACCAGCAAAAGGUUAGGGAAUUAACUAAUUUGGGCUUGCUCUUGUCUUUUGAUUCUGUUAAGUAUAAUUAACUAUAUUUUUCUAACAAUCUAUCUGGUUCAUUAAAACACAAUUAGGGCCUUCAGAUUGUAAUUUCUGACAUAUUGCCAAACGUGGAGUAUAGGAAUUGUGUGAGGGACAUGUUUGCAAAUUGGUCAGGAAGGAAGCUAGGGAAAUCUUACGAGUAUAAUUUCUGGCAGAUUGUGAAUUCCACGACUGAGAAUGAGUGGGAGGAAUUAUGUGCAGCACUAUGUCCGACUUGACUUUCAUGAAAAUUUUAUGGAAACUACGGAUCACGGUCAUAAAUUUCAAAAUAAUAAAACAUAACAAAUGGAAAACACCUACUCCGAGAUCAGUAUAAAACCAUAUGUUAGAAGAUUAACCAAUCUCAAGCAUCUGUUGAUUAUAUAUAGGGAAUAGUUGGUAGGUUUACCUUAUCUAACAUGAAUAUAAAUCAGAAAUCAUGAACUGAAAACAUAUAUAUUUACUAACAUUUUAAGGAAAUAUGAAGCAUAAAUCAAUGGGUGAACGAAUCAUUGAAGUAAAAUGCAGAUAGUCUUGAGAUACAAUAUGAUUAAAUCUCUACUUACUGCUCACGGCAUGAGCACCAAUGGUGGAACAUAAACAAUUAAGCUGAAUGAUGUCCACCACAGAUCCUAUGAAUCAAAACCAACCAAUAACAAGUCAAUUGCCAAAAAGAAUUCAAGUAUGAAUCUUAAUAUCUCUUCACUGCAAUGCUCAACCAACAUGAGAGGCAGUAACAUACAAAGAACUUUCAGCCCAAACUGAUACGACAAUCAAAAUCCAAGGUAAGAAGCUAUCAACUCCAAUGGCUCUACCAUGGAACUAACCCAAUCUAGCUUGAGAGUGAAAACUGCCGAAGGUUGCAUCUAGCUCCACGUGUUCAUCCCACAAGUUUUGAGAUCUCUUGCAAAUUCUCGAUUUGUAUAAUCCCAUUGAUAAAUAUGGGAAAAAAAUGUUGAGGAUGCUGAAGAUCAUUAAAUGAACCUAAAAUCAUGAUAAUAAGUCAAAGGCAAAGGUAACUUACUUCUUCACCAUGACUGAAUUGCCAGAACCCAGAAAGGGCCUCAAAAGAUUACCUUGAAGUUGUGUUCACAAAUCUGUUGACAACUUGCAUAGUCAACAAAUAUCAGUUCAAACACUUGUAAAAAGCAAGCAUUCAGCAAAACAAAUUGAAGCUCUUACAGUUCAGGUGCUCCUCCUUAUAUGGCUAAAGCUCCAAUUCAGCAGUGGCACAAAUAACCAAUAUUUCUAAUGAAUCUAGAUGUCAUUGAAGGAAAAUGCACACCAAGGCUGGAAACUAAACAAUGAAGCUGAAUCGAGUCCACCACUGGUCCUAUGAAUUAAAAAAACCAACCAAUAACAAGUCAACUGUCAAUACGAAUUAAGUAUGAAUCUUAAUAUCUGAAUUUUAAGAACACAGACACGACAGGGGGAUGAAGAUGAGAAAAUAAUAAUAAUAAUAAUAAGCAAAAAUCACAAGCUUUUGAACAAAUUUCCAAUUUUUAUGUUUAUAAAUUAUGCUUUUAACAUUUACAAUGUAGAACUACAAGGUUUCAGUAUGGUAAAGCAUCUUCUGAAAGACGAGUAAUUUAUAAAGCAGAGCAAGUUAGAUUCAUCCUGGUCGGUUUUAAUUAAUUAAAGCACUUUAUUUGCUGUUAUUAAUUUAUAAGUUCAAAAUUUACUAUUAAUAAUUGUGGGAAAAAAAAGUAUGACAAUAUAAAAAACGAAAUGAAAAAACUGAAAAAAAUAUGAUAGUAUGAAAAAAUGAGAUGAAAUGAAACCCUUACCUAUGCAUUUGGAUGACAUAAUUGAGAAGUUGAAAGUCCUCAAAAGCAGAGCCAAAGAUGGAAAGAAAUACAAACUAUUUCAAUCUUUUAAGUCCUCCAUCCCCUUCUUCACCAUCAUGGCUAAAGCUUCUUUUGUUCCCAGCAACUCUCUUUUCAGUAGCCUCCACGUAAAAUACAUGAACACCACAUCUCUCCACCUUGAUAUACUUUUCUCCUCCAUCAUUGUCUUCAUCGAAAUGGAAAUUUUUGAUGUAGAAUUUGAAUGAUGCCUCCUCAUAAUUCUUGUCUUCUAUAACCAUGGCGAUGCUAGAUAGAAUAAACACGUGAUAAUCCAUGUACUUAACUGGCUCACAAAAACUGCGGAAACAUAUCUCACUUAUGAAAUUUUCACAACCACCUCCACCAUUGCCACCACCGGCGGUUGUAAGUUGGUACUCACAAAUACAUUCACGUAAUUGAAAUUCAAGGCAGUUAGUGAGAUCAGCCACAAGGCAGAUAGCAAAAACCAAAAAUCUGCUCCCACUGCCCCCAUUUGGGGCUAUCUUCAAACGUAAGGAAGAUUUCAUGCUCUGACACUUGAACAUAUUUGCUGAAAUUUUAUUUCCUGGGAAACAACAAAUCAAACUUGGAGCUCUGUCAGGGUUCUAUUGCCAAUCAUAUCUCGCUGCCCAUUUCUUAGCUAGGGAUCCAAUUUUGAGCAUGGCAUUUGCCUCAAUGUUACUAGUUGAGUCUUGAUUCAAGUUGAAGCAAUUACGGAAUCGCGUCAAAAAGUUAUGAUUUAUGCAAAACUCAUCAUCUAAAGAGUCAAACUGAUUUAAAUUUUGAUCUGCGAAGGAUACUUUUUCUAAUGAUGUGCAGUCAUUUACACUCAAGACUUCCAGAUAUGGUGGAAGAUCUGAGAGUAAUUCGACCUUUGGACAACCACUAAGAUCCGGAUAAUGAAGAGAUUCCAACUUGAUCGAUACAUUUUUGACCGCUGAGCCACUCAUAUUUAAGUGCUUAAGAUUACAUAGAGAGUCGAAAGGCAACGACACUUCUUCAAUUUGAGUGCCAGAUAAGUUUAAUUCUAUUAAGCUUCCCGGGAUUUCUGGAAAUUCGACCAGUGGGCAACCACUAAGAUUCAGUUUACGAAGGGAUUCCAAUUUGAUCGAUACAUUUUUGACCGCUGAGCUACUCAUAUUUAAAAGCUGAAGAUUACAUAGAGAGUCGAAAGGCAACGACACUUCUUCAAUUUGAGUGCCAGAUAAGUUUAAUUUUAUUAAGCUUCCUGGGAUUUCUGGAAAUUUGACCAUUGGGCAUCCACUAAGAUUCAGUUUGCGAAGGGAUUCCAACUGGAUCGAUACAUUUUUGACCGCUGAGCCACUCAUUUUUAAGUGCUGAAGAUUACAUAGGGGGUCGAAAGGCAACGACACUUCUUCAAUUGGGCAACCACUAAGAUCCAAUUUACGAAGGAAUUCCAACUUUAAAAUAUUGAUAGAUACUUUUUUCACCUUUGACUUCCCUAACCACAAAGUUUCAAGUUUGUGGUGAUCCUUAAUUGAAUCAGACACUUCUUCUAUUUUGGUUUCUGAUGAAUCUAAAGAGCAAAAGGGACGUGGGACCUUAGGAAACUUCUUUAGACUAUAACAUCCGUUAAGACGAAGACUAUAUUGAUGAAGAGAUGCCAAAUGAUUGAGGCAAGGAAGUUCAACCAAACUUUUACAAUUAGAGCAACCUAGGAAUUCAAGGUUGAUGGCUCUUGAAAGAUUAGGUAGCUUCCUUAAAUUCACGCACCCAUCAAAGUAAAUUUUCCUUAAAUGAACAAGGUCAUGUACAGAAAAAAUAAUUGUUCUACUUCUAAGCAUCCACCACUUAUUUUAGACAGUAAAAUAUGUAAAAGAAAUAAAUAAUUAUAAUACGAUAAAAAAUAAAAAUUUAUAUUUGAUGUAUCGGGCCUGAAAAUUCACUCGCAGCUAAUAAAUCAAACUAUGUCACUUAUCUAAACAAAAUAAAUUCUUUUAUAUAUAUAUUUUUAAAAACUUUUAAAUAAAAUGUUAUCAUAUGAAUAUUUGAUACAUCAAAUUAUAAAUCAUUUUUUUCAAAAAAAAAAGAGUAUAAAAAUGCAUAUCAUACGAUCAUCUUCAUUCCAAAGUUCAACCAAACGUAAAUUUCCCUUAAAUUAACAAGCUCCUGUAUAGAAACAACAUUUGUAUUGCUUUUAAGCAUCAACUACUUACUUUAAGUAGUAAAAAAUGAAAAAGAAAAUAAAUAAUUAUAAUACUAAGAAAAAUAAAAAUUCAUAUUUGAUGUAUUGGGUGUGAAAAUUAACCCACAAUCAAUAGAUCAAAUGAUUAUUUGAUAGAUUAAAUUAAAAAAAAUUCUUAAAUGAAAUAAGUAUGAAAGCACACAUACUAUAUGAUCAUCUUCAUUCCAAAGUUCAACCAGACUUUCACAGCCAAUGCAACGAAGGAGUUCAAGGUUGAUGGCACUUGAAAGAUUAUGCAUCUUCCUUAAAUUCUUGCAAUAUGAAACGUCAAUUUCCCUUAAAUUAGUAAGGUUCUGUGCAAAAGAAAAAUAUAUAAAAAUAAUUAUAUCAUUGUUAAGUAUCAUCUACUUACUUUAGAAAGUAAGAAAUAAAAAGAAAAUAAAUAAUUGACAAUAUCCUGCACAGGAUGAGAAUAAAAGUAGUUUCAUUACUUUAGAGCAUCAUCUACUUAUAUUAAGACUGUCAAAAUAAAAAUUCAUAUUGGGUGCAUUAAUUCACCCACCAUUAAUAGAUCAGAUUACUUCUUUUAGAAAAAUAGAAUAAAUUUAUAUAUAUAUUUAAAAAAUUUAAAUAAAAUGAUUUCACUUAUUCAAAUAAAAUAAAAUAAAAUAAAAUGUUUCAUAUUUAUAUUUUAAAAACUUUAAAUAAAUAUCAUAUGAUAUAUUAUUUGAUACAUCAAAUUAUAAAUCCUCCUUCUCCUUUAAAAAACUUCUCAUUUGAAGAAAGUAUGAAAGUAUAUACCAUAUCGUCAUCUUCAUUCCAAAGUUAUUCCAUGUUGCCAUGUAAUAGUUUCAACAUGACAAGAUUUUUUGGAUUAAAACCAGAUAAAGAUUUAAAAGGGUAAACAUCCCAACAGAGAAACCUUAACUCUUCAGGAAGAGACAUACUAUCAACUUGAUUUGCAUAUAGCUUCUUAAGCCAUAACAUUUUUUUAGGAAAGCUGAUGUUGAUGUAUCUAAGCUUAUGCAUCUUCUCAAAAGCAGUAGCACAAAACUGUAGACUAUCAACUUUAGUUAUGUCUACCUUUAUUCCUUUAAUUAGGUCAGUCCCCUGAUAAAAAAAAUCAUGAAUUAACACAAAGAAAUUUAUGGACAUUCUAUUAAAUCAGUCAUAAAAAAAGUUAAUUAUAUUAGGAAAGACUUUAAACUAACUUGGCAUACCUUUUUAUUAGAGGAAUUUUUAGAUGCACAAAGUUUUACUUUUUAAUUUUUUUUAAAGUAAUGCAUUAUAUACCUUUAGCAAAUUCCAUGUUGACUGUUGUAUCAUAAGACAUUUGGUCAUUAUGGUUAGGGGAAAUAAUAAAUAUUUUAUUUUUUAAAAUAAUAAUUAAAAAGGAUAAUAUUUUGUACACCACAAGAUCUAUUAAACCAUGUGAAAGAAUAAAAAGAAUAUAAAUACAAUUAAGAAUAAAAAGAAUAUAAAUACAAUUAACACUUACUCUAUCAUGCAUUAUAUAUUUAACAAACUUAAAAAACCUUUAGCAAAUUCCAUGUUGACUGUUGCAUCAUAAGACAUUUGGUCAUUAUGUUUAUGGGAAGCAAUAAAUAUUUUAUUUUUAAAAUAAUAAUUAAAAAGGAUAAUAUUUUGUACACCACAACAUCUAUUAAACCAUGUGAAAGAAUAGAAAGAAUAUAAAUACUAUUAACACUUACUUUAUCAUAGCUGAUCACUUCUUCCACAUCUUUACAAUUCCAUAAUCUACUGCGCUUUCCAGGGUAUUCAGAUUCUUGCAUAACAAUGUCUUUGCCCAUCUCUUCAAGCAUGCCAUGCAUAGAAAUAGAUUCAUAUUUGACCUCAAGUAGGCACUUGCCGACCAAUUUACUUAUUCCACAUCUUGCACCUUUAUAAUAAUUACUUAGAAUUUUUUCUACGUAAUUCAAGUGUUGCCCUUUAAAGAUGCAUGCUACGUCAAGAAAUAUAUUCUUCUCUAUCUCAUCCAGCCCAUCUAAGCUACUCUUCAAAAUAUGUGAAAGUUUUAUUUCUCCACAUUGCUUUAGUUUAGUCACCUCGCUCUUCCACUCUUUUAUAGACUUUGUAUAUAAUUUCAAACCCAGAACUUUAAGAGCAAGUGGGUUACCUUGGGCAUAUUCUACAAACUUGAAUGAUAGAUAUUUGAAAUCAACUGGAAGAUUCAACAAUUGAAAUGCAUAUGUAGAAAAAAGUUGAAAAGAGUCGUUCAUGUUUAACUUCUUUACCUCAUGUAUGUGGUUUGCUCCUCCAUUCCUAAGUACUUGUAUAUCUCUAGAUGUUACAAUGAUUUUACUUCCACGACCAAAAUAUUUAACACCCAUAAAAUCUAUUUGGUCUGGGUCACUAACAUCAUCAAGGACAAGAAGUACUUUUUUAUUAUUCAGCCUCUCGUGGUAAGGGUAUCCUAUGGAAGGAGUAUUGUUUAAUAGUUUGGAAAGAAGUUCAUUUCGUAAAGAUUCACUCCCCUGUUUUUUUAUUUUCUCACUAAUGUUUUGAAGAAACAAACUACGUUCAAACUUUGGAGAGGCUUCCUUAUAUACAGCAUCAGCAAGGGUAGUUUUGCCUAUACCACUCAUGCCCCAAAGUCCUAUUACAUGGAUGCCCGCUUGCUCAAUCAACACCAAAAGCUUCUUUUUUUGAUCAUCUAUUCCCACCAAUUCUUCAGAGACACUUCUACAAUUGCUAUUCAACUUUUUUAAAACAUAUUCAACGACAUCUUUAAUGUACUCAGUUUCAAAUCUAGAAAAUUUUUUAAAAAAAAUCAACAGUCAAAAGAAAGAUAUAUAUAUAUAUAAAAGUAAAAUAUAAGAAGAUGAAAAUAUAUAUAUUGUUACCUAUCGGAUUUGCCUCCUUCUAUAUGCCACCCUUUUGAUGCACCGAUUUCAGCGAAGGCGGCUUUCCAUCGCUUCACGUCUUCAAUUGGUCUCUUUGAUUCAUGCUCUUCGAAGGAUGUCCUAAAAGUCCCACCAAUAUUUCGCACAUCGGAAGGAUCAACAUGGUAAAAGAUGGGAAGAACAAUAUGUUUCAGUGGGCUUGCGCUUGCGAUCCAUGAUGUCAGAAAGUUCAGCUAAGCAUGAUUGUGAAGAAGCAUAGUCUUUAGAUAAAACGAGGAUGGAGAGAUACGAGGCUGCAAUUGCUUGUGAAAGUUCCUCCCCUUUCUCUAGUUUUUCUUCAUCGAAGAAGACAUUCAGUCCCUUGUCUUUCAAAGCUUGGAGUAGAUGAACGGUGAAGUUAUGGCGCGUGUCUUCACCUCUGAAGCUUAAGAAAACUUGAUGCUUCAUUUGACGAGAAGAAGAUGAAGAAGACGCCAUGAAGGUGUAUGGAUUGUGAGAUUGAGGAAAAAGAGAACAAAAUAAACCGAGGGAGCUUUGCUUUUGCUUCUAUCUUUUUAAUGGUAAGAAGAAAAAGUGAGUCAAUUAAAUGGGAAUGAGAUUGAAAGGGUGAAGCAUAGCCAAUUUUAUGAGUGAAGAAUGUGCGUGUGGACCUUAGAAACCGCACCACCAAUCAAACUCUAUCUCUCCAAAAGCCUUUAACUCCGCUGCCUACCAUCAAAAACUCGAACCAAAUAAAAUUGACUGUGCUGCUUGCUCUGCUCUUUUUUUUCUUUUUUUUGAAGUUUGAAAUUUUUUUAAUCAAAGUGGCUUUUUAUAAUUAAAAUUUAUUUUAAUUUAUGAAACUUUGAUUUGUAAUCAAGUAACUCAGCUCUUGUGUAUGUAUGUGAUGCUAUUUUUGUCUUAAAGAUUAUUAUCAACAAGAAAAAUUGUUCCAAUGAUGUUGGGGGGUGUUAAUUUCCAGGUCAAGGUCUUCCAUUGGGACAAAAUUGUUAAGUAAAUAAAUUUCCAUUCUUGAAUUUCUUUUUGGGUCCUAACAAAAAUAUUGACUUCUACACACUUUGUGAUUUGGGUCAAUUGAACUGAAAUUUCAUAUAAUUUUCUUUUAGGCAAUUUUAAGUGAAUUCAACUUAAAUUUCCCACAACUUUAUAAUUUUCACUUUUUUCCCCUAAAUGAAAAGUCUUUGGAAUGAAGGGUGUUGUGUUUCUAUUUUCCUAGGUAAAAUAAUGAUAGAUUUUCUUUCUGCUUUGGGGGUUUCCUAUUUAAUCCUUUAUUUUGAGCACAGGUAGGGUGAGUUUGGUUAAAAAGACCUCUUUAGUUUCUUUCAAUUUUGGAAUCGAAUAAAUUGGCCACUCUCAAAAAAGAAAAUCAAAGCAAUUUAAUCAUUGUUAAUUUUAAAGGUGAGUAACUAAGGACAAUUAAUUGUGAUGUUAACGUCUUUCGUUAAUUGUACAUUAUUUUGAUUGGUAUAACAAUAAAUUUAGCCUUAAAUGUUUCUAUUUUUUGUCAAUUUGGUCUUGGUUUUAAAAAAUCAAUAAAUUUAGUAUCAACAUUUACACGAAUGUUGUGGGCUAAAUUUGUUAAAUCAAGAUAAAAUUGUAAAAUUUGAGGGGUAAAUUUGUUAUUAUGCCAAUCAAAAUUAUGUACCUUUGAUGGACAAAAUUAAUGUUGUGAUUAUUUUACCUUAAUUGCUCACUUUCAAAAUUGAUGGAAUUUAAAUUGUUCUAAUUUUUUUUUAAGAGAGAUCAAUUUACUAACUAUCAACCUUGAGAGAGAUUGAAUAGAUCUUUUACCAACAAAUAUGCUUGCUUACAUUUAUUUUAAACAUAGAAUCGAAUCGGUUUUCUAAUUAAACAAGGAUUCACCUAAAUUGUUUAGCAAGUAAGAAUGAGCAAAAUUCGAUUCUAUUCGAAAAAAUCGAAAAAUAAAUCGAAGUUCAAAUUAUUCGAAUCAAGUUAAGUGAGUUAAUCAAAUUAAUUGACUCAACUUGAUUUUUUUUUUCAAAUUUCGAGUUCAAUUCGAGGAGUUUUCGAAUUCAAAGAAUCCAAAUAAUUCAAAUAAAUCGAAUACCCAAAAAAUUAAGCUAAAUGAUGUCCACCACAGAUCCUAUGAAUCAAAACCAUCCAAUAACAAGUCAAUUGCCAAAAAGAAUUCAAGUAUGAAUCUUAAUAUCUCUUCACUGCAAUGCUCAAACAACAUGAGAGGCAGUAACAUACAAAGAACUUUCAGCCCAAACUGAUAUGAUAAUCAAAAUCCAAGAUAAGAAAAUAUCAACUCCAAUGCCUCUACCAUGAAACUAACUCAAACUAGCUUGAGAAUGAAAACUGUCAAAGGUUGCCUCCAGCUCCAUGUGUUCAUCUCACAAGUUUUGAGAUCUGCUGCAAAUUCUGGAUUUAUAUAAUCCGAUUGAUAAAUAUGGGAAAAAAAAGAUUAAGGAUGCUGAAAAUCAUCAUAUGAACCUAAAAUCAUAAUAAGAAGUCAAAGUCAAAGGUAACUUACUUCUCCACCAAGACUGAAUUGCCAGAACCUAGAAAGGGCCUCAAAUGAUUACUUUGCAUUUGUGUAGACAACUCUGUUGACAACUUGCAUUUUCACCAAAUAUCAGUUCAAACACUUGUAUAAAGCAAGCAUUCAGUAAAACAAAUUGAAGCUCUUACAGCUCAGGUGUUCCUCCUUGUUGCGGAAGCGACGAUAAUAUUAAUAAUAAUAUUAUCAGAAAUAUUUAGAUAAUUAUUAUGCCACAACUAUACUAAGAAAAUUCCCAGUUAAAUUGGAGGGGUCACAAAUGGUCCCACUUAAAAACCAACAACUAGACAGAACUCACUUAGUUAUUUAUAGCAAUAAUAACUAAAUAAAUAUAACCAACAUAAAGCUAUUAAAUAUAAGAAAACAAAUGAGAAAUAAAACACCAGAAUUUUAACGAGGUUCAGCAAAUUUUGCCUACGUCCUCGGGCACUACCAAAUAUAUUUCACUCCAAAAAUACAAGUGAAAGUUUACAAAUAGGGAGAGAGAACAAUUGCCUUAAGUAGAGAAUGGCAAGUGUGGGAUGUUUGAAAUGAGGAAUAAUUAGGCCUAUUUAUAGUUGAAGCUCAAGGAUCAACUUGCAAAGUCCCUAUACAAUUAGGGACCAAAAAUUGCAAUUAUUCCAUGCCACCAUUCCAUGCCAUCAUUUCAAACCAAAUUAUUAGUGCCUUAAUUGUGGGACUUUUGGUGCCCACCAUUAUCUUUGGAGUUGUCAAAGAUGCUACUAAUAAUUAUGCUACUAAUACUCCUUGUAUGGCUAAAGCUCCAAAUCAGCAGUGGCAUUCUCAAAGAUCUGUCAUUCCCUCGGCUUACAUCAACACAAAAGCAAAGGAUAUAAGAAAAACCUAUCUCUCAAAUAACCAAUAUUUCUAAUGAAAGAAAAUAUAGCAAGUAUUGAGAUACCAGAUGAUACCAAUGCUGGAAACUAAACAAUGAAGCUGAAUCGAGUCCACAUUUGGCCCUAUGAAUUAAAAAAAACCAACCAAAAACAAGUCAACUGUCAAUAAGAAUUAAGUAUGAAUUUUAAUAUCUGAGAUUUGGUACCCACCAAAAUCCACUAUGGAUAUUUUAUCAACUCCAAAGCAGAAUCAUUUUGCUACACUGUGUUGAAAUCUCUAGUUUCCGUUCAAUUUUCCUCCAAAUUAAUUAAUAUAUAUGGAGAAUUUCGUUCUUGGACAAUAUAUGCUAUAUCUACAAAACAACACAGACAUAACGGGGGAAUGAAGAUGAGAAAAAUUAAUAAUAAGCAACUAUCACAAACUAUUGAACAUAUUUCCAAUUUUAUGUUCAUAAAUUAUGCUUUUAACAUUUACAAUGUGGAACUACAAGGAUUCAGUAUGGCAAAGCACCUUCUAAAAGACAAGUAAUUUAUAAAGCAGAGCAAGUUAGAUUCAUUCUGGUUGGUUUUAAUUAAUUAAAGCACUUCAUUUUCUGUCACUAAUUUAUAAGUUCAAAAUUUAAUAUUAACAAUUGUGGAAAACAAAAGUAUGUCAAUAUGAAAAAUGAAAUGAAAAAACUGAAAAAUUUAUGAUAAUAUGAAAAAAUGAGAUGAAAAUGAAACCCCUACCUAUGCAUUUGGAUGACAUAAUUGAUAAGUUGGAACUCCUCAAAAGCAGAGCCAAAGAUGGAAAGAAAUACAAACUAUUUCAAUCUUUUAAGUCCUCCAUCCCCUUCUUCACCAUCAUGGCUAAAGCUUCUUUUGUUCCCAGCAACUCUCUUUUCAGUAGCAUCCACGUAAAAUACAUGAACACCACAUCUUUCCACCUUGUUAUAGUCUUCUUCUUCAUUAACUUCAUCAUCAUUGUCGAUGAUGUAGAAUUUAAAUGAUGCCUUCUCAUAAUUCUUGUCUUCUUCAACCAUGUCGUUGCUAGAUAGAAUAAACACGUGAUCACCCUUGUACUUAUUUGGCUCAGAACAAUCGAAGAAAGAUAUCUUACUUAUGUAGCUUUUAGAAUCACCACCACCGGCGGCUGUAAGGUGGUACUCACAAAUACAAUUAAGAUAUUUAAAGCGAUGGCAGUGCGUGAGAUCAGCCACAAGGCAGAUAGCAAAAGCCAAAAAUCUGCUCCCACUACCCCUAUUUGGGGCUAUCUUCAAACUCAAGGAAGAAUUCAUUCUCUGACACUUGAACUUAUCUGCAGAAAUUUUGUUUCUUGGGAAACAACAAAUCAAUCUUGGAAAGUCUUCUCGCUGGUAUUUCCAAUCAUAUCUUGCUGCCCAUUUCUUAGCUAGGGAUCCAAUUUUGAGCAUGGCAUUUUCCUCAAUGUUAUCAAUUGACUCUUGAUUCAAGUUGAUGCAAUUACAGAAUAGCAUGCCAAACAAAUCAUCACCUAACGAAUCGAACUGAUAUAAAUCUUGAUCUGCAAAGGAAACUUUUUCUAAUGAUGUACAGCAUUGUACAUUCAAGUUUUGCAUAUAUGGUGGAAGCUCUGAGAGUAAUUUGAGGCUCUCGCAACGAUCCAUCCUCAUAUGAUUAAGGAUUUUAUGUUGGAAUAUUUUCAAAUAUUUAUAGUAUCCCAAUAACUAUAAAUGAAUGGGUGUAAUUAAUCAAAAGAUAAAACUUUUGGUCAUUGGUCAAAAGUUAUAUCAUUUGAUUUUUAAAAAAAGAAUUAUAACUAUUCAAAAAAUAUUAUUUGAAUAGUUACAAAAUUAAAUGAAUAAUUAUUAUUAUUUAUUUAUUUAUAGACACCUAUUGAAAGAUGUCUCUAUGAAGAGACAUGAAAAUUCCUAUAAAUAGGAAUGGGAUUUCAUUUGGAAAUCAUAUCAACAAAUUCUAAUAUUAUUUCUUCUCUUCCUUCAUUUUCUAAUAUUAUUAGAUUAUUCUAUAAAGUAUUGCUGCAGAAAUCCUUUGUAGAAAUUGAGUUUUUGUUAUACAUUACUCAGUGCAUAGUGGACUAUUCUCGUCAGUGCAAAACGCAAAUAGUCAUUGGCUUCAUUGUAUCCUCGAGUUUAAUUUGCUUGGAACUCGUUUGCACACUGAAGAUAAGUGGGGGCGAAUAUAACCUUAAAGAUAGUGGCUUGAUACACGCCUUGGAGCCUGUCCUAUUUCUUCUUUUUCUUUUCGAGUUCCGAUUGUGUGUUCGAGUUUUUUCCUUACCGGAGUUUUGUACUAACAUUUUAGACCUCAAGCUUGGUGUGGGCAAAUCGACAGUUGGAAACUCUCCGGAACCGAACUGGGUGAUAUUACACAUUAGCUUUUGAAUACUUGAGCCGCUCAUAUUUAAGUAUUGAAGAUUACUUAAAGAGUCUAACGAUAAGGCAGCUUCUUCAAUUCCAGUUCCAGAUAAGUCUAACCAUGUUAAGCUCCUCGGGAUUUUUGGAAAUUCGACCAUUGGGCAUUCACUAAGAUUCAAUUCACUAAGGAGUUCCAACUUUGAAAUAUUGAUCGAUACUUUUUCUACCUUUGAUUUGCUCAACAACAAUCUUUCAAGUUUGUGGAGAUACUUAAUUGCAUCAGGUACUUCUUGUAUUUCAGUUUCUCGUAAAUCUAAAUAACAAAAGUGACUUGGGACCUGAGGGAACUUCUUGAGGCUAUAACAUCCCUCAAGGCGAAGCUUAUCCUCAUCACGAGAUGCCAAAUGAUUGAGGCAAGGAAGUUCAACCAAACUUUCACAGUAAGAGCAAUCAAGGAGUUCAAGGUUGAUGGCUCUUGAAAGAUUAGGUAUCUUCCUUAAUUUUUUGCAAUUUGAGACGUCAAUUUCCCUUAAAUUAACAAGAUUCUGCACAGGAAAAAAAAAUGUCAUCCACUUACUUUAGGCAAUAAAAAAUGAAAAGGAAAUAAAUAAUUAUAAUACUAAGAAAAAUAAAAACUUAUACCCGAUGUAUUGGGCUUAAAAAUUCACCCACAAUUAAUAGAUCAAAUGAUGUCACUUAUUUAAAUAAAAUAAAAUCUUUUAUAUUUAUUUUUUAAAAAACUUUAAAUAAGAUAUCAUAUGAUCAUUUGAUACAUCAAAUUAUAAAUCCUUUUUUUCCUUAAAAAAAUUCUUAGACGGAGAAAGUAUGAAAGCACAUACCAUAUGAUCAUUUUCAUUCCAAAGUUGUUCCAUAUUGCCACUUCGUAAUAUCAACAUGACAAGAUUUUUUGGAUUAAAACUUGAUAAAGUUUUAAGGGGAAAAUAAUCCCAACAAAGAUACCUUAACUUAUUAGGAAGAGAUAUACUAUCAACUUGGUCUACAAGAAACUUCGGAUUUCGAUAGCCCUUCUCAAUCUUUGAAUCAUAGAAGCAAAUAUAUUUAAGAUUAAGCAUGUUCUGAAAAACAGAUGGACAUAACUGCAGCUCAUCCAUUUGAAACAUGUCUAAUUUUAUUCCUUCAAUUGAUACGGUCCCCUAAUAAUGAAAAACAUUUUAUCAAGUAUCAGUAUAUAAAGAUGCAAUGCAUUAAAUAAGUACCAACCCAGUAAAUCCUUGAGUAGAUCCCAUGUUAUACUCUGAGACAUUUGUCUUUAUUUGUAUGGUAAGUACACUGAUAUUUUAUUUUUUGAAAUAAUAAUUAAAAUGAUUAACAUUUGAUACAAUAUAAAUACAAAUAAUUAAACUUUUAACAUAUGAAAACAUAUAAUUAACUGAAUUUAUAUAUUUACAUUAUAUCACAAAUAAAUUUUAAUUAAAAUAACACAAAUAUAUAAAAUAAUAGAAAACAAUGUAAAUACAAUUAGCGCUUACUUUGUUAUAUCUGAGCACUUGAUCUUCGUCUUCAGGAAGCCAUAACCUGCUACGCUUUCCCGGGUCUUCUUUACAUUCUUGGCGAACAAUGUCCUUGCCAAUCUCUUCAAGCAUGUCAUGCAUAGAAUAACAAUCUAUGCUAUCAAGUAAGCACUUGUCGACUAAGUUUCUUAUUCCACUCAUUGCACCCAUAUAAUAAUUACUUAGUAUUUUUUCUACAGUAUCCAUUUUUUCUCCUUUAAAGAAGCAUGCUAUGUCAAGAAAUAUAUUCUUUUCUAGCUCACGCAACCCAUCUAAGCUACUCUUCAAAAUAUGCGACAUUUUUGGCUCGGCAUAUUGCCUUAGACUAUCCACUUCGCUCUCCCACUCUUUUCUAGACUUUGUAUAUAGUUUAGAACCCAAAACUUUAAGAGCAAGUGGAUUACCUUGGGCAUAUCCUACAAACUUGCAUGAUAGAUCUUGAAAAUCAGCUGCGGGACUCAACAAGUUAAAUGCAAGUGUAGAAAAAAGUUGAAGAGAAUCAUUCUCUGUUAAGAAAUGGCUUAAAAUUGGUAGUGGAUUGUUGUUGUUGGUAGUGGGUUGUUGGUGGUAGUGGAUUAGUGGAUGGUUGUUGGUGUCCAUUUUCAACCACAAAUCUUUGCCAAAGUUUUGGACAAUUAUGUCCUUGAACUCUCUUAUAAAUAGAGAGGUUCAUUAGCCAUAUUGAUCAUCCCAAACCAAGAGAGAGCAAAUCUUGUUCUUUGAAAGCUAGGAUUUUAGCUUUCGGGUUUUCUAUAGGGGUUGAGAGUUGUGAGGUUCUCGGGUUGUGUCUUGAGUGUAAAACACUUGUAAUCUUCAUCUUGUUAUAGUGAAAUUUCUUUUCGCCUCUGCCCGUGGACGUAGGCAUUAAAGCCGAACCACGUAAAUCCUUGUGUUCACUUUAUUUUUCGUUCCGGUCAAUUUACUUGUAGUCAUAUCGGAGUUCUCGAAUCGAUCCUUUCCGCAACAAAUUGGUAUCAGAGCGUAGUUGAAGGAGUGAUAAUAUUUUCUGAAUUGCCCUGUGACUGCAGCUUUGUCUGAUCUUUCACAUCAGGAAGAAAAUAUUAUCAUUCAUUCAAAGGUUCCAAAUUAUGGCUACAAGUGUUUCAUCGACUAAGUAUGAUGUCGAGAAAUUUACCGGGAAAAAUAGUUUCAGUUUAUGGCGCAUCAAGAUGCGGGCAGUGCUGGUUCAACAAGGAUUGCUAAAAGCAUUGUCUGGUAAAGAUAAAUUACCAAGCACGCUUUCGGAAGAGCAAAAGGAUGACAUGCUAGAAAGAGCACAUAGUGCUAUUCUGCUAUGUCUAGGAGAUGAAGUGCUACGAGAAGUAGCGGAUGAGAAAACCGCGUCCGGUUUGUGGCUCCGGUUAGAGAGCAAGUACAUGACGAAGUCAUUGACGAACCGGCUCUACCUCAAGCAAAGACUCUAUGCCCUGAAGAUGGAGGAAGGUACACCUGUUUCCCAGCACCUGGAUAAAUUCAAUUCCAUUAUCAUGGAUUUGAAUAAUAUCGAUAACAAAAUCGAUGAUGAGGACCAAGCAAUAAUUGUUUUGUGUUCUUUGCCUCCCUCGUAUGAGAAUUUUGUUGAUACAAUGAUGUACGGUCGUGAUGACCUGACUCUAGAGGAGGUGAAAAAUGCCUUAAGUUCCAGUGAGUUGAGGAAGAAAAUCACUGGUAAGGUGGUCGAAAACAAUGAAGGCGAAGGCUUGGUUGCUCGAGGAAGAUCCAAGGCAAAGGGUGGAAGUUCAAGUAAAAGCCAUCCUAGAUCGCAGUCCAAGAAGAGAAUACAGUGCUACUACUGUAAGAAGUACGGGCACAUGAAGGUAGAUUGUCCGAAAAGGAAGGAGAAAUCAGAAUCACAGGAGCAACAAAAUGAUCGUGCGAAUGUAGCUGAUGCAGAUUCUUCAAGUGAUGCCGAGAUCGUUCUUGCAGUAUCCGACUCUUACGCUGGUGGGAGAUGGAUUCUUGAUACGGGAGCUACAUUUCAUAUAAGUACUUCGAAAGAUGCAUUCUCAACAUACGAGAAGCAUUCUGGUUCAGUACUAAUGGGAAAUGACCACGCAUGUCAAGUCAUGGGGAUUGGCACAGUUCGUAUAAAGAUGUUUGACGGUAUUGUUAGAACUCUAACUGAUGUUCGGCACAUUCCAGAAAUGAAGAAAAAUUUGAUCUCUUUGAGUACGUUGGACAAGAAAGGCUUUCGGUACUCUGCUGAAGGUGGAGUUCUCAAGGUAUUCUCGGGUGCUUUGACUGUGAUACGUGGUAAUUUGGAGCGGGGCCUUUACUUCCUCGAUGGUUCCUCGGUUACAGGUGUUGCGGGAGUGUCAUCAUCAGAUGAUCUAGAUUCUGACACCACGAAGUUAUGGCAUAUGCGGCUCGGGCAUAUGAGCGAGAGAGGCUUAUCGGUGCUAAGCAAACGAGGAUUAUUGUCUGGGCAGUGUACAGGAAAGUUGAAUUUCUGUGAGCACUGCGUCUUCGGUAAGCAGACUCGGGUAAAGUUCAGCACUGGGAUUCACAAGACAAAAGGCACAGUGGAUUACUUCCAUUCUGACCUUUGGGGGCCUUCUCCGACAAUUUCUAAAGGUGGUUACAGAUAUCUGCUUACCUUUAUCGAUGAUUACUCGAGAAAGGUUUGGGUGUAUUUUCUGAAGAGCAAGUAUGAGGUUCUCAUCAACUUCAAGCAAUUUAAAGCUUUGAUCGAAAAUCAAACAGGAAAGAAGAUCAAGCGAUUCCGGACGGAUAAUGGCUUGGAGUUUUGCUCAGGUGAAUUCAAUGAGUUCUGCAAGAAUGAAGGAAUAGUGAGACACCGCACUGUUCGUCGAACACCACAACAAAAUGGAGUUGCAGAACGCAUGAAUAGAACUCUCUUGGAGCGAGCUCGUUGCAUGCGAUCAAAUGCUGGGCUCGGUGAAGAAUUUUGGGCUGAAGCUGUUAAUACUGCUUGUUAUUUGGUUAACAGAUCUCCGUCAACAGCUAUUGAGCUGAAGACUCCUGAGGAAGUAUGGUCUGGUUCUCCUGCUGAUUACUCUGGUUUAAGAGUGUUUGGCUGCCCUGCGUAUGCUCAUGUAAAUGAGGGAAAACUCAAACCGAGGGCGAAGAAAUGCAUAUUUCUUGGAUACGGCCAAGGGGUGAAAGGAUACAGGUUGUGGUGUCCUGAUCCGGUUUCGUCCAAGUUCAUCAUCAGCAGAGAUGUGACUUUUGAUGAGUCAUCCAUGCUUCGAUCCACCACAAAUUCCCGGGAAAAGGAGGAGUCAGAUAGAAUGGGAGAUCACGGUGUUGAGAAGCAGGUGGAGUGUCAGGUGGACGCUCCAAUUCCUACGGAAGGUACUUCAGUCCAGGAUGAUCAAGUUGAGGUGCAAGAUUCCGAUGAAGAUGAGUCACCUCAAGAAAAACCAUAUAGCAUUGCCACUGGAAGAACGAAGAGACAAAUCAAACCAAAUCCGCGUUACGCUAAUCUGGUGUCUUUCGCGCUCAGUGUGGCGGAGUCCAUUGGUAUAGAACCUUCCAGUUAUAAUGAGGCUGUCACGUGUGAUGAGUCGGCACAGUGGGCAAUUGCUAUGAGUGAGGAGAUAGAAUCUCUUCACAAGAACCAUACUUGGGAGUUGGUUAAGCCGCCAAGUAACCAGAAGAUAGUUGGUUGCAAAUGGGUCUUCAAGAAAAAGGAAGGCAUCCUAGGGGUUGAAGCAACUAGAUUCAAGGCACGAUUGGUUGCUAAAGGCUUCACUCAGAAAGAGGGGAUUGACUACAAUGAAGUUUUCUCCCCAGUCGUAAAGCAUUCUUCCAUUCGUAUAUUACUUGCCAUGGUGGCCAAGUCUGAUCUAGAACUUGAGCAGCUUGACGUAAAAACGGCGUUCUUGCAUGGUGAGCUCGAGGAAACAAUCUACAUGCGUCAACCAGAGGGUUUUACAGUUCCUGGUAAAGAAGACCAUGUCUGUCUAUUAAAGAAGUCUUUAUAUGGAUUGAAACAAUCCCCAAGGCAGUGGUACAAGCGGUUUGAUAGCUUCAUGAUUCAGCAUGGUUACACAAGAUGUGACUAUGAUGCUUGUGUCUAUCAUCGGAAGCUCUCAGAUGGUUCGCACAUUUAUUUGUUGCUGUAUGUUGAUGACAUGUUAAUUGCUUCCAAAAACAUGUCGGAAAUCAACAAGUUAAAGUCGCAGUUGAGUGGUGAGUUCGAGAUGAAGGAUCUGGGUGCUGCCAAGAAAAUUUUGGGCAUGGAUAUUCACAGAGAUCGCAAGGCGGGCAAGCUUCGUGUGUCGCAGAAGAACUACAUUGAAAAGGUUCUUCAACGCUUCGGCAUGGAUAAAGCGAAAACUGUGAGUACUCCGUUGGCACCACAUUUCAAACUCUCUGCAGAGUUGUCACCACAAUCUGAUGAAGAAAAGCAGCAAAUGUCUCACAUUCCAUACUCGAGUGCAGUUGGAAGCGUGAUGUAUGCAAUGGUUUGCACUCGUCCAGACAUUUCACAUGCAGUUAGUGUGGUCAGCAGAUACAUGAGUUGUCCUGGCAAGGAACACUGGCAGGCCGUGAAAUGGAUUCUCAGGUACUUGAGAGGUUCUGCAGAUUUAUGCUUGGUAUAUGAUCAGAGUGACUGCACCAGCAGUGUCACGGGCUAUGCGGACUCUGAUUAUGCUGGAGAUCUGGACAAAAGAAGAUCUCUGACGGGUUAUGUUUUCACUUAUUCUGGAGGAGCCAUUAGUUGGAAAGCUGUGUUACAGUCUACCGUAGCCUUAUCUACGACUGAGGCGGAAUAUAUGGCGUUAGCAGAAGCAGUGAAAGAAGCAUUGUGGAUGAAAGGUCUAGUAAGCAGUUUGGGUUUACAACAGGAUUUCACUGUUGUAUUUUGCGAUAGCCAGAGUGCCAUACAUCUGACUAAAAAUCAGAUGUUUCAUGAACGGACCAAACACAUUGAUGUCAGAUAUCAUUUUGUUCGGGAACAUGUUACGCAAGGUGACAUUGUUAUCAGCAAGGUUGCUACCGAGAAGAAUCCUGCAGAUAUGUUAACUAAGGUGAUCCCUGCAUAUAAGUUCAAGCAUUGCUUGGACUUGAUAGGUAUUCGGGAUUGAUUAGCGCCAGAGAGGCGUUUGGAAGAGGUGAUCCAGUUCACUAUGAUGUUCAGCUUGGUAAAUUUCAAGCCAAGGUGGAGAUUUGUUAAGAAAUGGCUUAAAAUUGGUAGUGGAUUGUUGUUGUUGGUAGUGGGUUGUUGGUGGUAGUGGAUUAGUGGAUGGUUGUUGGUGUCCAUUUUCAACCACAAAUCUUUGCCAAAGUUUUGGACAAUUAUGUCCUUGAACUCUCUUAUAAAUAGAGAGGUUCAUUAGCCAUAUUGAUCAUCCCAAACCAAGAGAGAGCAAAUCUUGUUCUUUGAAAGCUAGGAUUUUAGCUUUCGGGUUUUCUAUAGGGGUUGAGAGUUGUGAGGUUCUCGGGUUGUGUCUUGAGUGUAAAACACUUGUAAUCUUCAUCUUGUUAUAGUGAAAUUUCUUUUCGCCUCUGCCCGUGGACGUAGGCAUUAAAGCCGAACCACGUAAAUCCUUGUGUUCACUUUAUUUUUCGUUCCGGUCAAUUUACUUGUAGUCAUAUCGGAGUUCUCGAAUCGAUCCUUUCCGCAACAUUCUCAUUCAACUUCUUCACCUCAUAUAUGUGGUUAGCUCUUCCAUUUUUAAGUACCUGUCUGCCUCUAGAUGUUACAAUGAUUUUACUUUCUGGACCAAAAUGUUUAACACCCAUAAAUUCUAUUUGAUCUGGGUUACUAACAUCAUCAAGGACAACAAGUACUUUUUUAUUGUUCAACCGCUCUUGGUAAGGGUGUCCUAUGGAAGGGCUGUUAAUACAAAUUCCUUUUUGGUUUAAUAAUUUGGAAAAAAGUUCAUUUCGUAAAGAUUCAUUCCCUACAUUUUUUAUUUUCUCACUAACAUUUCGCAGAAACAAGUGGCUUUCAAAAUUUUGGCAGAUUUCACUAUACACAACAUCAGCAAGGGUAGUUUUGCCAAUACCACCCAUUCCCCAAAGUCCUAUUACACGGCUAUGCUCUUGCUCAAUCAGCCCCAAAAUUAUCUUUUUUUGAUCAUCUAUUCCAACCAAUUCUUCAGAAACACUUGUACAAUUGCUAUCCAACUCUUUUGAAAUAUAUUCAACCACAUCUUCAAUGUACCCUGUUUCAUAUCUAGAAAACAGUUAAAAAAUCGACAGUCAAAAGAAAGAUAUUCGUAUAAGUCAAAUAUAAGGAGAUGAGAAUAUAUAUAUUGUUACCUAUCGGAUUUGCCUCCUAUAUGCCACCCUUUUAAUGCACCGACCUCUUGAAAAGCAGAUUUCCAUCGUUGUACUCUAUCAGCUGGUUGCUUUGAUUCAUGCUUUUGGAAGGAUGUCUUAAAAGUCCCACCAAUUUUUUGCACUUGGGAAGGAUUAACAUGGUAAAAGAUGGGAAGAACAAUAUAUUUGUCAGUAGGAUCGCGCUUGCGAUCCAUGAUGUCAGAAAGUUCACCUAAGCAUGAAUUUGAAGAAGCAUAGUCUUUAGAUAAAAUGAUGAUCGAGAGAAUUGAGGCCGCAAUUGCAUUCGAAAGUGCUGAUGAAAUUUUCUCCCCUUUCUUUAGUGUAUCGUCAUCGAAGAAGACGGUUCAUCCCUUGUCUUUCAAAGCUUGGAGUAGAUGAGCGGUGAAGUUAACUCGCGUGUCUUCACCUCUGAAGCUCAAGAAAACUUGAUGUUUCACUUGACGAGAAGAAGAUGAAGAAGACGCCAUUUAAGUGUAUGGAUUGUGAGGUUGAGGAAAAAGAGAACAAAAUAAACUGAGGGAGCUUUGCUUUUGCUUCUAUUUUUGUAAUGGUAAGAAGAAAAAGUGUGUCAAUUAAAUGGGAAUGAGAUUGAAAAGGUGAAGCAUAGCGGAUGAGUUUUUACUGAUAACAAUUUCAAUAUCCACUCCGCUUAUCGAAUCUAAAACCUCCAUUAUCAAUAUACCAAAUAUUUUCUUAUUAAUUGAAUGCUAAAACAUAUCUAAAUAUUUAAAUAUUUUCUUAUUAAUUGAUUUUGUAAUUAAACGUAUAACUUCAAAAAAAAAAAAUUGUCACCAUUCUUGAAUUUCGUUUUGGGUUAUGGUAAAUUUUCUUAUAAAUUUCCUAACAAAAAUAUUGACUUUUAUACACUUUGUCAUUUGGGUCGAUUGAACUGACUUUCUUAAGAAUAAUUGCCACUUUUAGACAAUUUUAGGUGAAUUCAACUUAAAUUUCCUACAACUUUCUCAACAAUAAUCGCCACUUUUUUCCCCUAAAUGGAAAGUCUUUGGAAGGAAGGAUGUAGUGUUUCUAUUUUUCUUAUGUGAAAUAAUGAUAGAUUUUCUUUGUGCUUUUGGGGGGUUUCCAUUUUAGUCCUUUCUUCUGAACACAGGUAGGGUGAGUUUGGAUAAAAAUAUCUCUCCAAUCUCUUUCAAUUUUGAAAUUGAAUAAAUUGGUCUCUCUAAAAAAAAUCAAAGCAAUUUAAUCUUUCUUAAUUUCGAAAGUGAGCAACAAAGAACAAUUAUUCAUGACGUUAAUGCUUUUCGUCAAUUGUACAUAAUUUAGAUUGGUAUAACAAAAAAUUUAGCCAUGUUUACAUAUUUUGUCAAUUUGGUCUUAAUUCUGAAAAUUCAACGAGUUUAGUAUAAACAUUUACAUAAAUAUUGCUAGCUAAAUUUGUUAAAUCAAGACAAGUGAUAUAAUUGUAAACUUUGAGGGGUAAAUUUGUUAUUAUACCAAUUAAAAUUAUUUAUAUUUGAUGGAAAACAUCAAUGUUGUGAUUAACUAUCAUUAAUUACCCACUUUAGAAACUGAUGGGAUUUAAAUUGCUCCGAUUUUUUUAAGAGACUCCAAUUUGCUCAAUACCAAAAUUGAUCAAAGAGAUUGGAUAGAUUUUUUACCAACAAAUAUGCUUGCCUACAUUUAUUUUAAAUAUAGAAUCGAAUCGGUUUUCUAAUUAAUGGUCUAUUUGUUUGUAUGUAAAAUGUUUUCCAUAAAAUAUUUUCAUUGUUUUACCGUGUAUGUUUGGUGGAAAAUGAAUUACUAAAGGAAAUCAUUCUUCAAAAAAAAUGUAAAAUCAAGACUUUUUCAAGGAAAAUAUCUUACCAAUUUUUUUCCCGUAAGACAUUUUCCAAACUAGUAAGACUAUAUUGACUAUCUUCACUAUCAAAGAAACAAAAAAGGGAAGCUUUCAGAGCAACAAAAGGAAAGCUCUCUUCACUGUCGAAGAAAAUAGUCCCUCAUAUUUUAAUUUUAUAUUUUUACAAAUUAGUCCCUGGAAUCUAAAUUUUUACUAUUCUACAAUUUAAUUCCUCAAAAAUAGAUUUUAUUAUUCUACAGUUCAGUUCUAAACCUCUUUUUGUACAAUUUUGCAAAACAGUCCCUUUUCUAAAAUUUCUAGCUUUUAUAAUUUAGUCCUUACAAUUAAAAUUUUGUUUUGGUCCUAUUACUAUUCCUUUACUACAACAAUAUCGUCAAUUAAUCCAAGUAAAUAUUACUAUUAAUUAUUCCAAUUGAAAUACUGACGUGAAUUUUUUAAAAAAACAUUGCUUUCAUAAAAAAAAAUUCAGCAUGGCUAAUAUGGAAAUACGCAAUCAAUAUUUCAAUAUCAUUUUACAGAAGAGUGAUCAAUUUCCCUUUUGGAUGACCAAAUUAACAAAAAUAGUAGAGCAACCAAAAUAGGAAUGACCCCUAUUUAAAAUAACUAAUGAGAUAAUUUACCCAUAAAAUUUUAAGAGCUUAACUGAAUAAUAUUGAGUAUAUUAGUCUAAGCAAAUCAUCUAUAGGAAAAGAAGUUACUAGUUGAUUUUGUAACCAAAUCUAGUUGAUGGGUAUUAAGUAAAUUUCAAAGCACAAAAUAUUGAUGCCCAAAUUAGUUUGGAUUAUUAUAAUAAUAUAAAAUUAGGCCAUAUUUAGAAACAAAUUAAAAAGGUAAUCCUCUUUUAAUAAAUGUGAAAAAUAGGUAGUACAGCAGCAUUAGUAGUGGAGCUUUUUUUUUAAUGCCACGAGUGAGAUUAAAAAAUUGUCUUAUUUUAAUUCAUUGAUUGCAAAAAAAUAUGCUACAAAGAUGUCAAGAAUCUGAUCUCCUUUUUCUUUUGUUUUUUCGCUGAAUUUACAAAGAAAAUCUGCAUAUUACAGUCAUACAUAUUGUUCCAAAAUGCAUAAGGACAAGUAAAAGUUGAUAAUGCACCAAAGCAUGGAAACUCACUUUUUUUUUUUUGUGAGGUGAUAAAGACUUAUUAAUAAAAUAUUUUUAUUGGCUGAGGAAAAAAAAGGGUUGCUUUUGCUUUUGACACCAAUUUCAAAAUGACUAAUAAAUCUUACAGCACUUCAAAAUACGCCAUCCAACCUUCUUUCUUUCCUCGAAGCUACAUAUGUAGGAAUUUGGAUAAAUCAAAGCAGACCACCCCUGGGCUGAAUUUUCAUGGAAGUUCCACAAAAUUUGCACAUCACAACCAUACAUAUAGCUUGUAAAAUGCAUAAGGAAAAAAGAAAGUUGAUAAUGCAACAAAGAAUGAAAAUUCUAAAUCACAAGCUAUUUGCAUGUAGAGCAUGUGAUUCUGGUUGGUUUUAAUUAAUUAAAGCACUUCAUAUUUCUGUCAUUGGCAAUUAAUUUAAAUGCUGGAAAAUAAUAGUUUAUGUGUUAGAACGUAAAUGUUGAGUAAAAUAUUAUUCAACGUACCAAUAUUGGCACAUUUUCUAAAUAAGUCGAGUCUUGAGCAAGAUAUUUUGGCCUAGCUCGAAUUUGACUACUUCUUUCCUGCUGUUGUUUAUUGUUGUUAUAUUGUUGUUUUGUUAUAAUCUUAUUAUUGUAUUGCUAAUAUUUUAUUGCUAUUGUUUGGGUAUUGAAUUUUUAGUUUUAUUGUUAAUUUUACUACAAUUUUAAAAAAUUUUGAUUGUUGAGUUGCAUUAGUGUUAUUUAAGUAUAAAUAUUUAUUUUAAAAAAUAUAUUUUUAAUUUUAUUUUAAUUUUUUUAGUCUAUUUGAUGUAUUAUAUUUUUAAAAUUUAUCUUUACAUAAAAAUAAUCUAAAAAAAUUAAUACGGGUAGGUCAGGCCGGGCUUAAAAAACGAGCCUAAAAUUUUGCAUCGCCUCAACCCAUGAUCAAGUCUAUAUGAACUUUAAAUGAACUCAUUUAAUUUAUCCAACCCAAUAUCAGGUUUUCAUUGUAAAAAUAUUAUUUAUAUAAUUAAUUAAAAUAAAUUUAAUUCAUUCAUUCAAUUAAAUUAUUUUCUCAACUAAAUUCUAAUUUUAUUAAAGUCAUGAUAAUUUUAUAGUACUAGAACUAUGGGUAAAUAAAUUUUGAGUUAAGGCAUGUGUCUUCACCUCUGAAGGUUAAGAAAACUUAAUGCAUCAUUUGACGAGAAAAAGAUGAAGAAGAUGCUAUGAAAGUGUAUGGAUUGUGAGAUUGAGGAAGAAGAGAGGAAAGUACACAAAGGGAGUUUUGGCAUCCUAGUAUUAAAUGACAAUGAGAAUAUGAGAUUUAACAAAGGCAAUGACUGGAGGAGAUUAGCUAAUUAUCUGAGACAAGAAAAUUGUCACUCUCACUCUUUCCAGGAAAUGACAGUCUUUUAUUUGUAUAUUUUACCCACAAUAGUCAAGGUCUUCCAAUGGGACAAUGUUGAGGAAAUGGUUAAAUUCUUAAAAGAGUCCUUGAACUAGUUUACUUUUGUUGUACCCAAAUAAACCCCUAUGUUUUUAUCUGUGUUUAAAUUAGCCCUUAUUUCAAAUGACAUGUUAAUUUUAAAAUAAGUUGGUGAUGAGGGGAGUGUUGAAUUUCAACAUCAACUUAUAAUCACCAUUUAAUAUAUUUUAUUUGUGUUUAUUGUUGUGCAAAGUUUAACUAUUAUUGUUAGUUUUUAAAAACCAAGUUUAACUUAAAUCUUUUGUUAGUUAAAAGGAUAAUAAAUCUCGUAUUGCUUAAGAACAAAGCACAAAGGGAUUAUGAAUCUAUAUAAAAGCCCAUAUUUCACAUUAUUUAGAAAAACAAAGGCAAGAAGAUUUUGAGUUUAUAUAAAGAACCAUAUUUUAAGCCUUAAGUCUAAAUAUUAGCCUUCUGGUGAUGUGGACUUUGAUGAAGAAGAAGGCAUGAAAGAGUAUUAAAAGGGAGUUUUGACCAGCAAGAAAACUUGCUCCAAAUGACGAGGAUGAUGAUGAUGGGUGUUAAUUAAUUUCCAAGUCAAGGUCUUCCAAUGGGUUUUGACCAACAAGAAAACUUGUUCCAAAUGACGAUGAUGAUGAUGGGUGUGUUAAUUUCCAAGUCAAGGUCUUCCAAUGGGAGACUAAAACUUUUCUAGAUACAAGUUAAAAAUUAAAAGUUAUUUGGAUAACAAAUAAAGUUUAAAGGCUUAUGUGGGGUAUGAUGAAAGUACACAAGAUUAUUUAGAUAAUGUGAUAAAGGUUAAGGGCCAAUUUAAUAUGUUAGUAUGAGUAAAUCAUCUAUACUAAAAUAUGUAUUAGUUGAUUUCGUAACCAAACGUACAACUUCAAAAACAAUUGUCACCAUUCAUGAAUUUUUUUUUUUUUGGGUUGUGAUGAAAUUUCUUACGAAUUUCCUACCACUUUCUUGAAGAAUAAUCUUCACUUUUUCCCCCCUAAAUAAAAAGUCUUUGGAAGGAAGUGUGUUGUGUUUCUAUUUUCCUAGGUGAAAUAAUGAUAGAUUUUCUUUGUUAGUCCUUUCUAACAUAGGGAAGGCAAGUUUGAGUAAAAUGACUUCUUUAGUCUUUCUUAAUUUCAAAAUUGACUAAAUUGAUCCCUUUAAAAGAAGAAAAAUUUAAUCUUUGUUAAUUUUGAAAGUGAGCAACAAAUAAAUUUUGAAAAUUGAAUAAGGACAUUUAACUGCAUCAUUAAUGUCUUCUAUCAAAUUCACAUAAUUUUGAUAUUGGUAUAACAAUAAAUUUAGCCCUUCAUGUUUGCAUUUUUGUCAAUUUGAUCUUGAUUCUAAAAAAUCAACAAAUUUAGCAUUAACAUUUACACAUUUACACAUUUACACAAAUGUAGCAGUCUGAAUUUGUUAAAUCAAGGCAAAUUAAACAUGAAUUCACCUAAACUGCUUAGCAACUGAUUUAGAGCUUGAUAUAAUCAAGAUCAAUAGGAGAUACCAUUGUCAUAGAAUAGUAAGUCUUAAAAGCAAAUAAAUCUUUGGAUUUGCCUACCCUUGAGAGCUUAUAUAUACUUUGAUCUCUUGUGUGAUAUUUAGAAAUCUUUACAGUGUCUAAUUAUUUAGAUAUUUGAUGGGUUUAUUGCUCUGCAAGAAAAUGAAAAGUUGAGCUUACUCAAUUAUCUAUCACUCAAUGUGCGUACGGACCUUACAAACCCAUCAGAUUCUAUCUUUUGAAAAGCCUUUUAACUCUGCUGCCUAUCAUCAUAAGAUUACCUAAUUUUACAAUCUAAUGAAAAUGGUUAAGUUUAAUACAAUGAAGUUUACAAUCAAGUGGAAUAAAUUUGAUUAAACAUCGUUUGAAGAUCAUAUAAAAUAAAGGAAACAAAGUGUAAACCUUAAAAUAAAGCCUCAAUGCCUUCAACUGCUAACUUGAGUCGGAGCUUACAAGCAACACGUAAAACAAAAAACAACAAUACAACAUAAUGUAUAAUGUCAAUAAAUACAAUGCCAUGAACAUUAAAAUCCGAUCCACCCCAUCCUUGGCUGAUAUGCCUUGGCAAGACAUUUACGAAAAUCAGUAUCUUUCACUUGAAGGAUCAAUCGAUUAGCUCGGAUACGUCCCCAAAAGUAUCCGAGAGGUUGAAUUGAUACACAAUGAAACUGUCAUGCUCUAGUUGGAAGCUUCAAGCACAGUAUAAUAGCUCGAAUCACAGCCACGUUUUCUUACUGCUGGAAUUCCGGCACCCCCUUAACAUCAUUCUCCCAAAACAGUGACUGUAAAUUCACAACGAAGAAUCACCGUAUGAAGCAAAUGGUUAUGGAAAAUCGCAUCGUUUGUUUCAAGACACAAACACCACACUGCAACCGCAUAACAUGUUCAGCUAAGAUCAACAACUACAGAUUUGUGUAAAUAAUGCAAUAUAAAAUAAUCAGAGUAGUAUAAUUUGUGUUUUCUCUUGUAGUAAAAUCAUAGUUUAGGAUUAGAGAAAGUGACUGUAAAGACAAAGUUUCGAAGCUCAUAAAAAUGAAUGCAUGAACCAAAUGGAUUAAAUCCAAAUUAUAUGAAGAACAUAAGGUGAUAGAAUAGUUAAUGCUUAGUGACUAAAGUCCCUGAUUGCCAAUUCCAGUAUUCAUCCUUUCUAUCCAAAACGAGAGUAAAACUCUGGAAUUUUAAUCACAAAAAUCAAAUCAAAGUUCAAUCUCUGAUAAUCUAAAAUACAAAAAAAGGAAAAUUAAUUCAAAUUUCAGCCCAAACUCAUAUGAUAAUGAAGUCAAAUGGCUCUACCUUGAAACCAACUCAAACUAAACCCAAAUCAUUUGUUUUUAAAAAAUCAGAUGGCCAUGAGGGUUGUAAAAGAUCACAAUGAAACAAAGGUAAUUAAGCUCACCAGGAAGGCUAAAUUGGAAAGAGCUUAUGGCUCCUCCAAAGGUCCUGUUAGAAAAAGGCAGCAGCAACAAUGAACAACAAAGAGCAUAAGCUCAUGAAAACAGCAAGCAAAACAAUUGAUAGGCCAAAGAAAAAAGUAACCGAAUGAGAGGUUCUGCUGCUUUCAUUUUCAUUUCAAAAUAUAAAGGAGUUACAAAAAUAAUAAUAAUAAUAAUAAUAAUAAUAACAAGUCAGUUACCUAAACACGUAACUGCUCUUACCAAAUUUGGCAAGUUGCCAACUAAAAUAUUACAAAAGAAAAGCUGAAAAAAUUCAGCUGUUACAUCCAUCAUUUUCAAAUCUAAAAGUACUAGCUUUAGAUAGCCAACUUGUUAACAUCACAAAAAUACAAAACAAAAGAAAGUUGCUUCUGGUUCAAUCUUCAAACAGACAUGUAAGCAUUACUGCUGCUGCUCACGAUGCUGGUGGUUUGUUGCAUUGCAGGCCAAUGCUCAAUAGCUCCAACAACCAGAAAGCAUUGAAGCAAAGUUGAAUGAUAUCAACUAGGAAAAUCUGUUAACAAAUUGCAAUACUGCCUCGACGUCUCAGUUCAAUCACAAAUAAUGGCAAUAACUCAAUAGAAGAAAUUAGAAGCUUACUCAUCUGCCAUUAAUGUCAUCUUGACUCUGUUUCCUCAUCUGCUUCUCUUAAACCAAUCACUGACAUCUUCAUUCCCUUCACAGAAGCAUAUUUAAAAUGUCAAAGCUUAAUCUCUAGUUUUUGGCUGACUUAUACUACAUUGCUUUAAACUCUGCAAAUAAAAAGCACAUCUAUAACGUGAGAUAAAAAAGAUUAGGCAUAGCGCACAACCUUACAUUAACACUUGAAAUUUAGUGGAACUUGUUUUUGUUGGUGAGAAGAAGAUAUCAUAUCAAACCCACCCUUAAUCUGCGAUUACAAUUCCAGUAUAAAUAGACAUGAAUCAUAAAUCAACGAAUCAAGAUAUCAUUGACGGAAAAUGCAAUGAGUAUAUUGAGAUACCAGAUGAUUAAAUCUCUACUUUUCAAUGAAGCUGAAUGAAGUCCUCCACUGAUCCUAUGGAGUCAACUGCCAAAAAGAAUAAAGCAUGAAUCUUAAUAUCACCUCACCACAAUGCUGCUUAAACAACUUGAAAGGCAAUAACAUACAAAGAGACUUCAUCCCCAACUGAUCUGAUGAUCAAAAUCCAAGAUAAGAAAAUAUCAAUUCCAAUGGCUCUACCAUGGAACCAGCUCUUCACUUCAAACUAAAAUCAUUUAAUAUUUUUCCAGUAUCUUCUUGGGUUCCUCAAUGGGAUAAACAUAAGCUCACCAAUCCAACUUGAGAAUGAUAGCCGUCAAACGCUUGCCUCCAGCUCCAUGUGUUCAUACCACAAAAUUUGAGAUACGAGCAACUCUCGGAAUUUCUUUGAUAAAUCUAGAAAAAAUAAGCAUUAGAUGAACCUAAAAUCAAAAUAAUAAGUCAAAGGUAACUUACUUCUCCACCAAGACUGAAUUGCCAGAGCCCAGAAAAGGUAUUCAAAAGAUUCCUUCAAUUUUGCGUUGAACCAUCAUAUGAAUAGACCAGUAAGGCAAAUCUGUUGACAACUUGCAUUGUCUCAAAAUAUCAGUUCAAACACAUAAAUAAAAUAAGCAUCAAGUAAAAGAAAUUGAAGCUCUUACAGCUUAGGUGUUCCUCCUUAUAUGGCUAAAGCUCCAACUCAUUAUUGGCUAAAAAUAUUUUGCAUUGGUCACAAACUUAAACUUUAAUACCAGAAAUUUCAUGGGAACUUGUUUUGUUGGUGAGAAAGAGGAUAUCAGAACCAUCCAUAAUCUGCAAGUUCUGUUGAGUACCGAAUCUCACAACAAAUAGGAAACACCUACUCCUAAAUCAACAUAAAAGCAAAGGUUAUAAGAGAAACCAAUCUUUCUAAUUAACAUGAAAUCAUGUAAUCAUGAGUUGAUGACAUAUGAGCACCGAUGUUAGAAACUAAACAAUGAGGCUGAAUAAUUUAAGUAUGAAUCUUAAUAUCUAAAUUUGGGCACCUACCACUAACCCCUAUUGAUAAUAAUCUAAAAUGACAUACUUUUAUGAGCUAAUUACAUAUAUAUUUUGAGUACGAUCCUAUUAAUUUGGGCUGUUUAUGGAUAUUUUAUCAAUUCCAAAGCAGGAUCUUUUUGCUACUGUAUUGAAAUCUCUCCAGUUGCCAUUCAAUUUUCCUCCAAAUCAAUUAAUAUGGAGAAUUUCCUUCUUGGACAAUAUAUUCUAUACCUACAAAAGAACACAGACUCAACAGGGGAAUGGAUAUGAGAAAAAUAAUAAGAAGAAACUACCACAAACUACAGAAAAAAUUUCCAUUUUAUGUUCAUAAACUAUGCUUUUAACAUUUACAAUGUGGAACUACAAGUUUUCAGUUUCUCGAAGAUGGUAAAGCACCUUCUAAAUGACUAGCAAUUUAUAAAGCAGAGCAAGUUAGCUUCAUUCUGGUUUGUUUUAAUUAAGUAAAUUGAAAUUUUAGUUUUAACAAUUGUGAAAAACAAAAGUAUGGCAAUAUGAAAAAUGACAUAAAAAAACUGAAAAAUGUAUGAUAAUAUGAAAAAAUGAGAUGAAAAUGAAAACCUUACCAAUGCAUUUGGAUGGCAUAAUUGAGAAGUUGUAACUCCUGAAAACCAGAGGCAAAGAUGAAAAGAAAUAAAAACUUCGAAAGUCAUCACGCCGUUUUUUCCUACCAUAUCUCGCUGCCCAUUUCAUAGCUAGGGAUCCAAUUUUGAGCAUGGCAUUUGCCUCAAUGUUAUUAGUUGACUCUUGAUUCAAGUUGAAACAAUUACAGAAUAGCAUGCAAAACACAUUGUAAUUGUCAUCAUCAAUUAAAGAAUCAAACUGAUAUAAACUUUGAUCUGCAAAGGAUACUUUUUCUAAUGAUGUGCAGUCAUGUACACUCAAGCCUUGCAGAUAUGGUGGAAGCUCUGAGAGUAAUUUGAGGCUCUUGCAACGAUCCAUCCACAUAUACCUAAGGGUUUUAGACCUCAAGCUUGGUGGGGGCACAUCAACAGUGGGAAACUCUCUUGAAUCGAACAGGGAGAUAUUACACUGUAGCUUUGGAAUACUUGAGCCGCUCAUCUCUAACUCCCUAGGAUUACUUAAAGAGUCUAUAGACAAGGCCGCUUCUUCAAUUGGAGUGUCAGAUAACUUUAACCAUAUUAAGCCUCUCGGGACUUUCGGAAAUUCGACCAUUGGGCAACCACUAAUAUCCAGUCGACGAAGGGAUUCCAACUUGAUCGAUGCAUUUUUUACCGCUUCGCCUUUCACUUUUAAGUACACGAGAUUACAUAAAGGGUCGAAAGAAAAUAACACUUCUUCAAUUUGAGUGUGUUAAACUUCUUGGGACUUUUGGAAUUCGGACCAUUGGGCAACCACUAAGAUCCAGUUUAAGGGAUUCCAACUUGAUCGAUACAUUUUUUACUGCUGAGCCACUCAUAUUUAAGAUCUGAAGAUUACAUAGAGAGUCGAAGGCAAGGACACUUCUUCAAUUUGAGUGCCAGAUAAAUUUAAUUCUAUUAAGCUUCUUGGGAUUUCUGGAAAUUUGAUCAUCGAGCAUUCACUAAGAUUCAGUUUACGAAGGGAAUCCAACUUGAUCGAUACAUUUUUGCCCGCUGAGCCACUGAUAUUUAAGUCCUGAAGAUUACAUAGAGAGUCGAAAGGCAACGACACUUCUUCAAUUUGAGUGCGAGAUAAGUUUAAAUUUGUUAAGCUUUUUGGGAUUUCUGGAAAUUUGAUCAUUGGGCAAUUACUAAGAAUCAAUUCACCAGGGAGUUCCAACUUCGAAAUAUUGAUCGAUACUUUUUUUACCUCUGACUUGCUCAACGACAAUCUCUGUAGUUUGUGGAGAUGCUCAAUUGAAUCAGGCACUUCUUCUAUUUCAGUUAUUUCUAAACCCAAAGAACAAAAGUGUCUUGGGACCUGAGGAAACUUCUUGAGCCUAUAACAUCCCUCAAGGUGAAGCUUAUCAUGAUGAAGAGAUGCCAAAUGAUUGAGGCAAGGAAGUUCAACCAAACUUUUACAUAAAGAGCAAUCAAGGAGUUCAAGGUUGAUGGCUCCUGAAAGAUUAUGUAUCUUCAUUAAAUUAGCGCACCAUGAAACGUCAAUUUGCCUUAAAUUAACAAGGUCCUCUAUAGAAAAAUUAACUGUAUUACUUUUAAGCAUUAAAAAAUGAAAAGGAAAUGAAUAAUUAUAAUACUAAAAAAUAAAAUUUUAUAUUUGAUGUGUUGGGCGUAAAUUCAGCCACAAUUACUAGAUCAUGUCACUUAUUUAAAUAAAUUUAAAAACUUUAAAUAAGAUGUUAUUUGAUACAUCAAAUAAUAAAUAUUUUUUUUUCCUUAAAAAAAUUUUUAGGCAAAGAAAAUAUGAAAGCACAUACCAUACGAUCAUCUUCAUUCCAAAGUUGUUCCAUAUUACCACGUCGUAAUAUCAAUACGACAAGAUUCUUUGAAUUAAAACUUGAUAAAGUUUUGAAGGGAAGAGAUAUACUAUCAACUUUGUUUGCAUAUUGCGGUGGAGGUUCCCAUAAAGUAUGUGCAAAAUACCUGAUGUUGAUAUAUCUAAGCUUAUGCAUCUUCUCAAAACCGGUAGCGCAAAAUUGUUGAUUACCAGUUUGAGUUACAUCUAACUUUAUUCCUUUAAAAAACUCAGUCACCUGAUAAAUAAAAAAUCAUAGAUUAACAUAAAGAAAUUUAUCGACAUUCUAUUAAAUCAGUCAUAAAAAUGCAUUAGAUAUUUAACUAACCCAAAAAACUUUUAACAAGAUUCCAUGUUGUAUCGUAAGACAUUUGGUCAUUAUGUUUAUGGUAAGAAACAAAUAAUUUUAUUUUUUGAAAUAAUAAUUAAAAAAGAUAAUACAUGGUACACAACAACAUCUAUUAAACCUACCAAAGAGUGAAAAGAAAAUAAAUGCAAUUAACACUUACUUUAUCAUAUUUGAACACCUCUUCCAUGUCUUCACAACUCCACAAUCUACUUCGCUUUCCGGGGCAUUCAGAUUUUCGCAUAACAAUGUCCUUGCCCAUCUCUUCAACCAUGUCAUGCAUAAAAACACAUCCAUAUUUGUUCUCAAGUAGACACUUGUCGACCAAUUUACUUAUUCCACAUGUUGCACCCUUAUAACAAUUACUUAGAACUUUUUCUACAUAAUCCAUGGCUUGCCCUUUAAAGAUGCAUGCUAGGUCAAGAAAUAUAUUAUUUUCUUCCUCAUCUAGCUCAUCCAAGCUACUCUUCAAAAUAUGUGAAAUUUUUAAUUUCGACAUCGUAUAUAGUUCAGAACCCAAAACUUUAAGAGCAAGUGGACUACCUUGGACAUAUUCUACAAACUUGCAUGAUAGAUCUCGAAAAUCAACUACAGGAUUCAACAACUUAAAUGCAAAUGUAGAAAAAAGUUGAAGAGAAUCAUUCUCAUUCAACUCCUUAACCUUAUAUAUGCGGUGAGCUCUUCGAUUUUUUAGUACUUGUCUAUCUCUAGAUGUUACAAUGAUUUUACUUCCAGGACCAAAAUAUGUGACACCCAUAAAAUCUAUUUGGUCUGGGUCACUAACAUUGUCAAGGACAAGAAGUACUUUUUUAUUAUUCAGCCGCUCUUGAUAAGGGUAACCUAUGGAAGGGGUAUCAAUACAAAUUUCUUUUUCGUUUAACAGUUUGGAAAGAAGUUCAUUUCGUAAAGAUUCAUUCCCCUGUUUUUUUAUUUUCUCACUAAUGUUUUGAAGAAACAAACGACAUUCAUACUUCGGAAAGACUUCUUUAUAAACAGCAUCAGCAAGGGUAGUUUUGCCAAUACCACCCAUUCCCCAAAGUCCUAUUACACGCACGUCCACUUGCUCAAUCAACCCCAAAAUCAUCUUCUUUUGAUCAUCUAUUCAGACCAAUUCUUCAGAAACACUUCUACAAUUGCUAUUCAACUUUUUUAAAACAUAUCCAACCACAUCUUUAAUGUACUUAGUUUCAGAUCUAGAAAAUGAUUAAAAAAACCAGCCGUCAAAAGAAAGAUAUGUCAAAUAUAAUAAGAUGAAUAUAUAUAUAUAGUUACCUAUCGAAUUUGCCUCCUUCUAUAUGCCACCCUUUUAACGUACGAACUUCAGUGAAGGUGUCUUUCGAUCGCUUCACUUCAUCAACCGGCCUCUUUGAUUCAUGCUCUCCGAAGGAUGUUGUUGAAGUUGGCCAGCAUGCUGCCUUGUUGCACCAGAAACAGCCCGAGCCAGUGAAGUUGCAGCAGAAGAUCAAGCUACUGUUGCCAUUUUUUUUCUUCAAGUGAUGUUUUGUAACUUAGUUGGAUUAAAAACUAAGUAGCUUUUGUACUUGAUGUUAUUAGGUGAAGAAUGAGCUGUUAAAUCAGCUUUACAAAGUGUACAAGUUAACUUUAUCAAGUUUCAAUGUGCUUAGUGGUAGUAGGUAUUGUUUAGGUGAUGAUUUUGUAACUCAUUGACCAGCUCAUUAUUGGAACCCACCCAUUGUUUGAAAAGUCAAAAAGGGUGGGCACCGAAAGUAGAAAGUAAAAUUGGUUGGCAAGUUGGGUUAAAAGUUGGCAUGGGAUAAUUGCAAUUUUGGUCCCUAAUUGUAUAGGGACAUUGCAAGUUGAUCCUUGAACCUCAACUAUAAAUAGGCCUAACCAUUUCUUACUUUCUUCAUCCCACACUUGCCAUUCUCUACUUAAGGCAAUUGUUCUCUCUCCCUAUUUGUAAACUUUCACUUGUAUUUUUGGAGUGAAAUAUAUUUGGUAGUGCCCGAGGACGUAGGCAAAAUUUGCUGAACCUCGUUAAAAUUCUAGUGUUCUUUAUUUUUUGUUCUGCAUAUUUUGCAAGUGUCAUUGUAGUGAUUUAUUGUGCUAUUAAAUUACGAUAGAGGGAUAUUCUGGCUAGGAAAGAUCUGGUAUGUAAGCGAUCCUCGUGAUCCACCUCUCUUUCCUGGGAAUUGAACUUAGUGUGAUUUUUCAGUACAAUAAUUUUACUCUUUCACACGCUUCCGCGCAACAAUUGGUACUAGAGCCAGGUUCGUACUUGGGGAAUACGACCGUCUACGGUACUAUUUACGUAUACGGCACUAUUUAUGUAUAUGGUACUAUUCACGUAUACGACACUAUUUAUGUAUACAGUACUGUUCACGUAUACAGUAGUUGGGAUUGAGGAGAAAAAUGGCAGCAGCAUCGUCAUCAGCAAGGACUACUGUGACAAAUGCAAAAUUUGAAGUAGAGAAAUUUGACGGUACCAAUAAUUUUGGUAUGUGGCAAUGUGAGAUCCUGGAUGUCUUAUGUCAGCAAGAGCUAGAUAUAGCCCUUGAAGAAAAACCUGACAAGAUGGAUGACAAGGAGUGGGCCAAGAUCAAUAGACAGGCGUGUGGUACAAUCCGCUUAUGUUUGGCCAAAGAGCAGAAGUACUCUGUCAUGAGGGAGACAUCAGCGAAGAAGUUAUGGGAUACACUGGAAGAAAAGUUUCUAACGAAAAGUCUUGAAAAUAGGCUUUAUAUGAAAAAGAAACUUUAUCGAUUCACGUAUGCACCCGGUAUGUCGAUGAAUGACCAUGUGAACUCAUUCAAUAAAAUUUUAGCAGACUUGCUAAAUUUGGAUGAGAAAUUUGAAGAUGAAGACAAGGCAUUAUUGUUGUUGAAUUCCCUUCUUGAUGAAUAUGAUCAUCUUACCACCACAUUGCUUCAUGGGAAGGACACGAUCACAUUUGAUGCAGUCUGUAGCGCGUUGUAUAGAUCUGAGACUCGAAAGAAAGAUAAAAGAGAUCACAGAGAUACAACCGCAGAAGUCUUAACAGUAAGAGGUCGUUCACACAGCAGCAAAUCUGGUAGAAGGGGAAAGUCCAAAGGGAGACCCGCCAAAGAUGAAUGUGCCUUUUGCCGUGAAAAAGGGCAUUGGAAAAAGAAUUGUCCUAAGCUACAAAAGGGCAAGGCUAUUUCUAAUGCAUGUGUAGCGGAGCAUGAUGAGGAGUCAGACUUUAGCUUGGUUGGCAUGGCAAUGGCAUGUCAAACGGAUGAGUGGAUUUUGGAUUCAGGAUGUACUUACCAUAUGUGUCCUAAUAAGGACUGGUUUUCUAGUCUUAAAGAGCUAGAAGGUGGAAUUGUUCUUAUGGGCAAUGAUAGUGCUUGUAAGAUAAUGGGAGUGGGUACAGUCCAAUUGAAGAAUCACGACGGCUCAAUCCAAGUCUUGACAGAUGUUCGCUACGUACCUAGCCUGAAGAAAAAUCUCAUCUCAUUAGGUGCCCUAGAAUCUAAAGGGCUCACAAUCACUUUGAGAGAUGGAUUACUAAAAGUAGUAGCUGGGCAACUGACGGUGAUGAAAGGCACAAGAAGAAAUAACUUGUAUUUUUUAAAUGGAAGUACAGUUAUUGGAUCAACAUCAACAGUUUCUACAAAAGAUGUAGAUUCAGAGGCUACCAGAUUAUGGCAUAUGCGAUUGGGACAUGCUGGUGAAAAAGCUUUGCAGACAUUGGUGAAGCAAGGCUGAUUGAAAGGUGCAAAUUCUUGCAAAAUGGAAUUCUGUGAACAUUGUGUUCUAGGCAAGCAGAAGAGGGUAAAAUUUGGUCCAGCAAUUCACAAUACGAAAGGAAUUCUGGACUACGUUCACAGUGAUGUGUGGGGACCUACCAAAGUAGAUUCUUUGGGAGGUAUGCACUAUUUUGUUACUUUUGUUGAUGAUUAUUCAAGAAAAGUAUGGGUGUAUCUAAUGAAAAAAAAAAGUAAAGUUUUGGAUGCAUUUCUGAAAUGGAAGAAGAUGGUGGAGACUCAGACUGGUCGAAAGGUCAAACGACUUCGAUCAGAUAAUGGUACUGAGUACAAAAACGAUCCAUUUCUACAAGUAUGCCAAGAUGAGGGCAUUGUGCGACACUUCACUGUUCGGGAUACACCACAGCAAAAUGGGGUGGCAGAACGAAUGAAUCGAACUAUACUGGAGAAAGUUCGAUGUAUGUUGUCCAAUGCUGGAUUGGGCAAAGAAUUUUGGGCUGAGGCAGUUACAUAUGCGUGCCAUCUAAUUAACCGUUUGCCAUCAGCUGUAAUAAAUGGAAAAACUCCUAUGGAGAUGUGGACUGGUAAAUCUGCUACUGAUUAUGAUUCUUUACAUAUAUUUGGUUCCACUGCAUAUUAUCAUGUAAAAGAAUCUAAGUUAGACCCAAGAGCAAAGAAAGCAUUAUUCUUGGGUAUAACUGAUGGAGUAAAAGGAUAUCGUCUCUGGUGUCCUGAUACAAGGAAGAUUGUUUUCAGUAGAGAUGUGACUUUUGAUGAAUCAACCAUGUUGAAGUACAAGGAUUCACAAAAGGAUGACAAAACCAGUAGUACUUUGCAGCAGGUGGAGCUUGAAAAGGUUAACGAUGAUCCAGCUAAUAUUGAAGGGACAAAUGAUGAAGAGGUUCCUACCCAAGAACCUCUACAGCAACAAGAUUCAAUUGCAUAUAGAAGGCCAAGAAGAGAGAUUCGUAAGCCAGCUCGCUUUGAUGAUAUAGUGGCCUAUGCACUUCCAAUUACAGAUGAUGAUGUUCCUUCUACUUACACAGAAGUAAUAAGUAACCCUGAUGGUGUAAAGUGGAAGCAAACAACGAAUGAAGAAAUGCAGUCUCUUCAUAAAAAUAAGACCUGGGAGUUGGUGACACUACCCAAGGGAAAGAAGGCAAUUGGAUGCAAAUGGGUAUAUGCAAAGAAGGAAGGAUUUCCUGAUAAAAAUGAAAUUCGAUACAAGGCUAGAUUAGUAGCAAAGGGUUACGCUCAGAAAGAAAGAAUAGACUACAAUGAAGUGUUUUCUCCAGUUGUGAAGCAUUCGUCUAUUCGGAUUUUGCUAGCCUUGGUUGCGCAAUAUGAUCUUGAACUAGUUCAGCUUGAUGUGAAGACCGCGUUUUUACACGGUGAUUUGGAAGAGGAAAUCUAUAUGACUCAGCCAGAUGGAUUCAAGGUUGCUGGAAAAGAAAAUUGGGUUUGCAAACUGACAAAGUCGCUUUAUGGAUUGAAGCAAUCUCCGAGGCAGUGGUACAAGCGAUUUGAUCAGUUCAUGAAAGGGCAAAGGUAUACAAGAAGUAAAUUUGAUCAUUGCGUGUAUUUUCAGAAGCUACAAGAAGGAACUUUCAUAUACUUGCUCUUAUAUGUUGAUGAUAUGCUAAUAGCAUCUAAGAGCAAAGUUGAGAUUGAAAGAUUGAAGACUCAACUCAAUCUCGAAUUUGAGAUGAAAGAUCUAGGAGAAGCUAAAAAGAUUCUCGGCAUGGAAAUAUGGAGAGAUAGAGCUCAUGAUAGAGUUAGCUUGUCUCAGAAGCAGUAUUUGAAAAAGGUACUACAGCAGUUUGGCAUGAACGAGCAGACAAAACCUGUAAGUACCCUGUUGGCUUCUCAUUUCAAGCUUUCUGCACAACUAUCUCCUUCGACGAAUACGGAACGAGAAUACAUGUUGCAAGUUCCGUAUUCUAAUGCAGUGGGUAGCUUGAUGUAUGUAAUGGUGUGUACAAGACCCGACAUUUCACAGGCAGUUAGUAUAGUGAGCAGGUAUAUGCAUAAUCCUGGAAAAGGACAUUGGCAAGCUGUGAAAUGGAUUCUACGGUAUAUUCAGAAGACCGUGGAUGUUGGAUUACUGUUCAAGCAGGAUAAUGCACUUGGUAAAGGUGUUAUUGGGUACGUUGAUUCUGACUAUGCCAGUGAUUUGGACAAGCGAAGAUCAACCACCGGUUAUGUGUUUACACUUGCUGGAGGACCAAUAAGUUGGAAGUCUACACUACAGUCUACAGUUGCAUUGUCAACCACAGAAGCCGAGUACAUGGUUGUAACAGAGGCUGUAAAGGAGGCUAUUUGGUUACAAGGUAUGGCUAAAACCUUGGGGUUGGUUUAGGAGCAUAUUAACGUGUAUUGUGAUAGUCAAAGUGCUAUUCAUUUAGCAAAGAAUCAAGUCUAUCAUGCACGUACAAAACAUAUCGACGUACGAAUCCAUUUUGUGCGGGAAAUUAUUGAAGAGGGGAAAAUUUGUCUUCAGAAGAUCAAGACUGCAGAUAAUCCCGCAGAUAUGAUGACCAAGGUGGUAACAUCAACCAAGUUCGAACAUUGUUUGAACUUGAUUAAUAUCCUGCAAGUUUAACAGUUGAAGAAGGCACUAUCAAGUAUUGUUGUCAAAGGCAAAAAGAAUUGUGUGAAGAUAAGAUUAUCCUAAUCAAAUCUUCAAGGUGGAGAUUAUUGGAACCCACCCAUUGUUUGAAAAGUCAAAAAGGGUGGGCACCGAAAGUAGAAAGUAAAAUUGGUUGGCAAGUUGGGUUAAAAGUUGGCAUGGGAUAAUUGCAAUUUUGGUCCCUAAUUGUAUAGGGACAUUGCAAGUUGAUCCUUGAACCUCAACUAUAAAUAGGCCUAACCAUUUCUUACUUUCUUCAUCCCACACUUGCCAUUCUCUACUUAAGGCAAUUGUUCUCUCUCCCUAUUUGUAAACUUUCACUUGUAUUUUUGGAGUGAAAUAUAUUUGGUAGUGCCCGAGGACGUAGGCAAAAUUUGCUGAACCUCGUUAAAAUUCUAGUGUUCUUUAUUUUUUGUUCUGCAUAUUUUGCAAGUGUCGUUGUAGUGAUUUAUUGUGCUAUUAAAUUACGAUAGAGGGAUAUUCUGGCUAGGAAAGAUCUGGUAUGUAAGCGAUCCUCGUGAUCCACUUCUCUUUCCUGGGAAUUGAACUUAGUGUGAUUUUUCAGUACAAUAAUUUUACUCUUUCACACGCUUCCGCGCAACACUCAUGUUUGGUAUUUGUAUUGGCUUCCAUUUUUAGUGUUUCAAAAGCUUAAUUCUGCUCUUGAAUUCUAUUUUUGUUUCUUCUGCAAGCCUUGAGCCUUGUUUCUCAAGUCUCAGCAAAACUUGCUUGCAUAUUAUUCAUAACACCAACAGAUGUCUUAAAAGUCCCACCAAUAUUUCGCACAUGGGAGGGAUCGACAUGGUACAAGAUAGGAAGAACAGUAUGCCCUUGAGUCUUUUUACACUUCAUGAUCUGAGAGAGUUCACCUAAGCAUGAUUUCGAAGAAGCAUAGCCUUUAGAUAAAACAAGGAUUGAGAGAUUUGAGGCUGCAAUUGCUUGAGAAAGUGCUUGUCAAAGUUGCUCCCUUUUCUUUAGUUUUUCUUCAUCGAAGAAUACAUUCAGUCCCGUGCCUUUCAAAGCUUUGAGUAGAUGACUGGUGAAGUUAAGGCGUGUGUCUUCACCUCUGAAGCUCAAGAAAACUUGGUGCUUCAUUUGACGAGAAGAAGAUGAAGAAGACGCCAUGAAAGAUUAUGGAUAUGUGAGUGAGGCAAAGAGAAAAAUUUAUAGCAAGGGAGCUUUGGUUUGCCUUUUGAAGAAGAAAAGUUUAAAAUAUGGAUCCAUCAUCAGUGGGAACCUUUUAUUAAAUGGAUUUUUGGUUGAAUUUUCGAACAUAUUAAAAUUUAUUUCUUUUUUUUUAUACAAAGCCUAUAGCUACACGUAAUUCUUUCUCACCUUUAAAUAAAAAGAAAAGACACGUUUAAACACACUCGAACUCACAUCUUUAAACAUUUGUGUGAUGCUAUUAUUUUCUAUUAAAGGUUGUCAUUAAUAAGCUAUUUAAAUUCCAUCACUAAGAAUAUAUUUUUUUCAUCACUUAAAUAAUGGCUUUAAUUAGAGAUAGAUUCUAGUGUCACGGGGCUAGAACUUCCGUCUCGCGAUCCGUGCGGCCUUAGGCGAUCCGUUCAUCCAAACUCGCCUAAGUCAGCUUUUACUCAAGUGAAGAUUCCUUAAGAACUCCUCCAAGGCACCGAAUUGAAGAGCGGAAGCGAUUUAUGCCAAAAGAAGAAUAAUGAAAGAACAAGAGAAAGUCACAGAAAAGAACACACCCAAGGUGUUUGAGUAAAUGCUCUCUGAAUUCUAUUACUCUUAAGAAUUCAAUCUUACAAUGGAUGAGUACAAAUGAGGGGAGGCUCUCUAUUUAUAGUUAAGCUCCCCUAAAAUCGACGAUCAAGAUACAUUUACAUCAACGGACGAGAUUAACCAUAUCUCUUAAUUUUAGGGAUUUACAAUAUUUGUCAUAUCAAAUCUAAUCUAAUCUUUACAAGAUAUGAUUCUCUCUAUCUUCUAAGAUUAGUUACCAAAAUUAGCCUAAGUUGCCAUGUCUUCAUUAUCGAGCUAACCAGGCUUCAAUCUGAUAGGUUUCUCCAACAAUUCUUUGAAUCGGGUCAGUUCUCGUGGGCUAAAUGUUCUCCAUUUAAUCGAUAGACCUCCAUGGGGCACAUCUUGUGUCAUGGUCACGGGCUUUAGACUUUGGCCCGUGACACUAGCACAUUCAGAUAACAUAAUUACGUAACAAAUAUAUUUAUAAAAAUUUACAUAAAAAAUAAGUGAAGUUCAUACAGGCAUAGGAGUCCCAUCACCUAUUAAGAGAGGGAAUGUACUUGAGUAUGGUGUAGACUUAUUCAAAGCAAAGGCAUCUCGACAAACAUGGUGCAUUGCCCCUGAAUCCAGAUACCAAGACGAAGUUCCUAUAGGUAUAGGAAUAUACGAAUCAUCAUUAUCAAAAUUGGACCCAAAAUAAGUGACAUUAAUAUUAGACCCAGUAGAGUUAGAGACAUUAGACGCAUGUAAAUCAGGUAUUCGAGGUAAUCCAAUGCAUGGAUCUGACCCAAUAUAAACACAAGCUCUUAGUUUUGUCCGCCAGGGAAUACACAACCCAUUUUAUGACCCAAAUGUAGUACAAACACCACCAUCUGAAGGCUCAAGCCCUCGUCCAUGACCAAGAGGGCUUGCAAACUCCACACAAUUAAAUGUCGGCCCAUUUGGAGAAACAUUAGCAGUCGACCCAACUGGAGAAAAAUCACCCCCAAAGUCCUAGCAUGGGCCAGAUGGCCUAGCACGCACAGACGGCCCAAGAUUUUGGCCAAUGGCCUAGUGAACCCAGUUACAAGCCCAAAAUACGGACCUAACCCAGUAAACUGCCUUAUGACCAGGCUCAAACCGCUGCUCAUGACCAAGCCCAAAUGGUUGGCUUAACCCAGCAUAAUGCCUAAGCGGUAGGCCUGCUCCAUCAUCAAACGCAAAAAAAGGGGUUAAAAACCCUAGUGUAUGACAUAUACAGGGGAGGCACAGCAGACAAAUGACCACCCUACCAUUUACCAGAAAGAAAUCGUGACUGCACCGUCUACGAAAGGCCACCAAACUGACUAGAGACGGGCGAUAGAAACGAGAAACCAGCAUCCAAACCCUGCCUAGUACGAUCGGUCGAAUUUGAAGCCCAGGCCACUAAUGCCAGGCCACUGUAGUCGCGAUUAUGACAAUAUUAAAAACGUUGAGCUAAAUGCCCAAACUGACCACAGAUCUAACAUUGGAGUUAGGAUCGAAACCUCUUUCCACAACCACCAGUAAGGGACGGCCACCACGCACAGAGUCCACCACCGGUGGUGACGGAAUAGUCUCCAAAAGGUUAGCAUGAAACGGCACCUCCUGAACCACGCGAAUUUAGCAACUUCCAUACUCCAACAACUCAUCCAUGAGGUGUUGUAACGGUAAGGCUUCCGACAAGAAUGACGCUAAGGUGAGCAUGGCGUUGAACUCCGGUGGUAGGCCCACAAGUACGAUCUCCAAUUUCUCUGCCUCCGAGAUCCAAGAUCGACAAGCCUCGAUUAAAGCACAGGUAUUCUGAAUCUUUACUACACACUCCUUUAUCGACAGAUUACCUUUCUUAAGCGAAUGUAAAUCAUGGCGAAUGCAAGAUAACUUGACACCUGUGGCGGUAGUGAAAAGGCAAGUGGCAGUGUUCCAAACAUCGCACGCCAUCCUAGCAUAUGUAAAAGAAGACAACAGUGAAGGACUAAUAGUAGAAAAUAACGAGAAAGAGGCAAGUAACCUAUCCUGCUGAACUAAUGCUGAGGCAUCUGGAUUUGGAACUAGAGAUCCCUCCGAAGACGGCACAAAAUGCGGCAGAACAGGUAACGUUCCCUCCAAAAAAAACCAUUGAAUUCAUAACCUUCAAUAAUCAAGUGAAUAUGUUGCUGCCUCUGUCAAUCAUUGUUGUCCGACGUUUACCAUGUUAAUAUCUACAAAAACUUGAAAGAAAAAUAGAAUAUGCAGAGAAUGAUUUUUGUAUUAUUAUCUUGAAUUUAACCAGUACAACUAUAGUAUUUAUAAAAUGUGUAUGAGUAACUGCUGCUAACAAUUUCACUUAACAACAUAACUGCUUGUAUAACAAACUAAAAACUAAUAGACUAAUAGAGUCUUUAUCUAUACUCUAACACUUUAAACAGAGCAAGUUAGAUUCAUCCUGGUUGGUUUUAAUUAAGUAAAGCACUUCAUUUUCUAUCAUAGGCAAUUAAUUUAAAAGUUGAAAAUUUAGUUUUAACACCUAUGAAAAACAAAAAUAUGGCAAUAUGAAAAAUGAAAUAAAAAAUCGAGUAAUAUGAAAGAAUGAGAUGAAAACCCCUUUAUGCAUUUAGAUGACAUGAUUGAGAAGUUGUAACUACUGAAAACCAGAGCCAAAAAUGAAAGGAAAUAAAAACUAUUGAAAUCGUUUAGGGCAUCCAUCCCCUUCUUCACCAUCAUGGCUAAAGCGUCUUUUGGUUUCGGCAGGUCUCAUUUCUGUAGCAUCAGCAUCACUCUCUGCAUCUACGUAAAAUACAUGAACACCACAUCUCUCCACCUUGAUAAAUUUUUCUGCUGCUUCUUCAUAAUGAUGGAAAUUUUUGAUGCAGAAAUCAAAUGAUGCCUCCUCAUAAUUCUUGUCUCUUUUAACCAUUUUGAUGCUAGAUAGAAUAAACACGUGAUCACCCAUGCAUUUCUCUGACUCAGAAGCAUCCAAGAAAGAUAUGGUACUUUUGAACUUUUUAUAACCACCAUCAGCGGCUGUAAGUUAGUAGCCACAAAUACAUUUAAGACUUCUCAAGCGAGGGCAGUGAGCGAGAUCAGCCACAAGGCAGAUAACAAAAACCAAAAAUCUGCUCCCACCACCCCCAUUUGGGGCUAUCUUCAAACUUAAGGAAGAAUUCAUACUCUGAUACUUGAACUUAUUUGUUGAAAUUUUGUUUCUUGGGAAACAACAAAUCAAACUUGGAAGGAUAUCACCCAGGUAUUUCCUACCAUAUGUCGCUGCCCGUUCCUUAGCUAGGGAUCCAAUUUUGAGCAUGGCAUUUGCCUCAAUGUUAUUAGUUGAUUCUUGAUUCAAGUUGAAGCAAUUACAGAAUAACAUGCAAAACACACCAUCACCUUCAUCACCUAACGAACCAAACUGAUAUAAAUUUUGAUCUGCAAAGGGAACUUUUUCUAAUUACGUGCAGUCAUGUACAUUCAAGUCGAGCAGAUAUGGUGGAAGCUCUGAGAGUAAUUUGAGGCUCUUGCAACGAUCCAUAUGCAUAUACUUAAGGCUUUUGAACCUUAAGCUUGGUGAGCGCACAUCAACAAUUGGAAAUUUAACGAUUAUACAACCACUAAGAUGUAGAGAAGAAAGGGAUUUCAACUUUGAAAUAUUGCUUGAUACAUCUUUUACCAUUGAGUUUGUCAAGGUCAACCGUUGAAGUUUGUCGAGAUGCUCAAUGAAAUCAGGUACUUCUUUUAUUCCGGUUUAUGAUAAAUCUAACUCAUAAAAUUUAUUUGGGAUCUCCGGAAACUUCUUGAGACUACGACAUCCCUUAAGGUGAAGGGUUUUAAGUGAUGUCAAAUGGUUGAGGCAAGGAAGUUCAACCAAACUUUUGCAUUUUUCACAGUCAAGUCUUUCAAGGUUGAGGGCUCCUAUUAAAUUAGGGAUCUUCUUUAAAUUUUUGCAACUAAAAAGUUUAAUUUUCCAUAAAUGAACAAGAUCCUGCACAUGAUGAGAAUAUAAAGUAGUUAGAGCAUCAUUUACUUAGACUCUAUCAAAAUAAAAAUUUAUAUUUGAUGUAUUGGGUGUAUUAAUUCACCCACCAUCAAUAUCAAAUUGCUUAUUAUAAAAAAAUAGAAUAAAAUCUUUUAUAUAUAUUUUAAAAAAUUAAUAAAAAUAUGCUAUCAUAAGAUUAAAUGUUAUAUCAAUUAUAAAUUAUUUUUCUUAAAAAAUUAUUGGAUGAAGAAAGUAUAAAAGUAUAUAUACUUGAUGACCUUCGUUCCAAAGUUGUUCCAUAUUUUCAUGUGCUAAUCUCGAUACAACAAGGUUUUUUGGUUUAAAAUUUGGUGAUAAGAUUUGAAGGGGUAAUAAUCCCAUUGAAGAUACCUUAGCUCAUCCAGAAGAGAUAUAAUAUCAACUUCGAAUGUAAGUAGCUUCUUAUAAUACUUAUGCUCUUUUCACAACAAAUUCUAAGGAGAAUAGAAGAAAAUAUAUCUAAGAUUAAUCAUGUUUUCAAAAACAAAAGGUUAGAAUAAUAGGUUAUCCAUAUGUGACAUGUCUAACUUUAUUCCUUGAAUUCGAUCAGUUCUCUGAUAACAAAAAUUAAUUUAUCAAAUAUUAUCCCGAAAAAAUUUAUAGACAUUCCAUUAAAUAACUCAUAAAAAAAUAAUUAUAUUAGGAUAGGCAUAGACUAAUUGAGCACUUUUAGGAAUUUUUACAUACAAAAAUUGUUUUCUUUUCUUUUGUUUUUAUUUUUUCAAAUCAAUGCAUUAAGGAUUUAACUAAGUCAUAAACCUUGAGCGGAUUCUACAUUAUAACUAAGACAUAGUCAUUAUGUGUCAUUAUGCAUCAAUUCCGUCAGACCGGGCCCUUGGUGCUUAAGAAAACUUGAUGCAUCAUUUGACGAGAAGAAGAUGAAGAAGACGCCAUGAAAGUAUAUGGAUUGUGAGAUUGAGGAAAAAGACCACAAAUAAACCGUGGGAGCUUUGCUUUUGUUUCUACUUUUUGAAUGGUAAGAAGAAAAAGUGACUUUAUUAAAUGGGGAUGAGAUUGAAAGUGUUUCUGUUAGGCUGAAGCAUAGCUAAUUUGUCCUAAUCCAAGGCUCGAAUAAGAAAAAGAGUCUUACAUUUCUUCCUAAACCUAUUUUUCGACCCUCAUAUUUUUUUACCUAAAUUCUCUUAUAUUUUAGAUUAACCUUCAAAUUUAAAUGAAUAGUUCGGCCACUUGAAUAAAUCUACUCUCGAUUUACAUAUUGGCAGUAGUACUUUUUAGUCUAAACCCACCCAAAUUAUAAAAGAACCUUUGGUCUAAAUCAAGCUAGCUUAAAUCAAUAAAAAAAGCCUUCAAUUUUGUCUAAAUUUAUUUUUUUAUUCAAAUUCUCUUAUAUUUUGGAUCUUUGUUAGUAAUACUAGCCGCUACCCUUAGUUGAAUAUCCAAUUUAAAGGGACUGUUUUUCUUGCCUAGUCAGUGAAAUAAUUGUUCCAUUGAUUAGUGUACUAUUUGGUCCCCGACGCCCCACAAUUAAGUUCACGUGAUAUUGAUUUUCAUGUGUUUUUUUCCUUACCUUCAUUCAUUGAUUGCAAAAAAGCAAAUCAAUACUAUGCUACAAAACUGUCAGUCAUCCUCUUGGUUGAAUUUUCAUGGAAAACCUGCAGAUUACAGUCUUAUGGCUGUAACUUCAUAAUGCACCAAAGCAUGAAAAUUCACCACUUGAUAUGCGACGCACAAUUUUUAUGUUUUGUGGGUGAUAAAUAAGAUACUUUAAACUCCUAUCAUCCAGUUUGGUUUUUAUAUAAGCACUUCAUUUUCUAUCAUAUGAGAUUAAUUUAUUUAAAAAUUGUGGAUGCAAGCUUACAACAUCUAUCACUAGCUAAUUUGUAAUGCUAAUGGACCUGAAUUUGUGUAAUUACUGCAAUUUAAAAUAAUCAGAGUUGUAUAAUUUGUGUUUUUUUCUUAUAGUAGAUCAUAGUUUAGGAUUACAGAAAAUUAUUUUAAUUACUAAGCUUCGAAUCUUGAACUUGAUGGAUAUCAUCACAUCAGAACCAAUGUACAAACCAAUUCUAAAACAGAGUAGAACUCUGGAAUUUUAAUUGCAAAAAGGGAAAAUUGAUUCAAGUUUUAGCCCAAACUGAUGUAACAAUCAAGUCAAAUAGCUGUACCAUGAAACCAACUUUUCAUUUUAAAGUUCCAACUAAAGCAAAAUCAUUUGGAUUCUUUUUUUCCAGGUGUUUAUGUUGGGUUCCUCUGUGGGGUAAACAUCAAUCUAGCUUAAGAAUGAAAACUGUGAUAGGGUUGGCAUUGAAAAUAACACCCAGGCUCCAUGUGUUCAUUCAGCGAGUUUUGAGAUGAGAGCAACUCUGCCAAAUUCUGAAUGCAUUUAUAUGGUCCAUUGAUAAAUCAGGGGAAAAGAAUGCCAUGAGGAUGCUAAUAAUCAGAAUGAGUCAAUAGUAAUUUGCCCAAGAGCAUAUGCUUCCUCUCAAUGGGAUAAACAAGGCAACUCUGUUGACAAGUUGCAGUACUGCUUCAAUAUCUAAGUCCAACCACAAUAUAAAUAAAUCAUUCAGUAGAAGAAAUUAAAGAGCUUAAAAGCUUACUUGUUACAAACAUCUGUUAUUUAUUCCCUCAUAUGCUUUCCUUACAUCAAUCAUUGCCAUCUUUAUUCCCUUCACAAUAAUCUCUAGGUAAAAGGGCACAUCUAUAAAUGUGGAUUUUGUGGGAACUACAUUUUUUGGUGAGAAAGAACAUAUAAAAAAACCACCCAUAAUCUGCAACUUCAAUUCCAAUAGAGUAUUGAAUCUGUGUCUGGCUUGACUAUCAUGCAAGUUUUAUGAAAUCUACAGAUCACAGUCAUAAAAAAUAGAACAUAACAAAUAGAAAAUACCUACUCCUAGAUCAAUAUAAAAGCAUAGGUUAUAAGAUUAACCAAUCUCGAAAAUAUGUUGACUAUAUUUAGGUAAUAGUUGGUAGGUUUACCUUGUUGAGAGCUGGACUGCAAUACAACAUGAAGCCAGCAGUAAGCUACUGUCGAGACCAGCAGCACCUACAGAGCUCAGCUCAUUUUGCUUGGUGUGCAAGAAUGAUUUUUGGACCGAAUGAAGCAACCAACAUUGUUGUUUUGUUUUGAUGUAAUUUGGUCUGGUUCAAUCUUAGUUUGCUUGUAAUGUUAGUAGAAGUUAAGUUAGUGAUAAGAUCUUUUGAUGUAAUGGCUGAUUGGUCAGCUAUAUUUGAUUAAUUUUUAGCUAGUGACUAGGUCUGUAUUAGUUGGGGCAGUUAAAUACAUUAGGUAACUGUCAAUGUAUAUUGUAACUUCUUUUAUAUUUCAAAUUUGAAUGAAAAAUUAGUAAUGUUCAGUUAUAAUUUUUUCUGAGUGUUCAAACUUUGUUCACUGCUUUUGUUUUGCUUUUCUUUUUGCUUCGAUUCCUCUUGCUUCUGUUUGCAAAUCUGUUUGGUGUUUGUUGCCAUUGUUCCAACAAAUGGUAUCAGAGCCCAAAUCUUUGAGGGGCCUUUGUAUGCAAUCUGUUGUGUUCAAACUUAAACCAACAUCAAAAUUUAAAAUUUGGAAAGAUCGAAGCAUUUAAAAUCAGUCUAGCAGGAUGAGUUUUACUCCACCACCUCCACCAGUGUUCACUGGAGAAAACUAUCACAUUUGGAUAGUUAAAAUGAAGACUUACCUCCAGGCACACGAUCUUUGGAGUGUGAUCGAGAAUGAUGCUGAACCACCUCCAUUGAGUGCCAAUCCCACCAUUGCACAGAUGAGACAACAUGCUGAUGAGCGAGCCAAGAAGCAUAAGGCUAUGGCUUGUCUACAAAAUGGAGUCUCUAAUGUGAUAUUCACUCGCAUCAUGGCCUGUGACUCACCAAAACAGGCCUGGGAGAAGCUGAAGGAGGAGUUCAUGGGGACUGACAAGACAAGGCAACAGCAGGUGAUCAACCUCAGGAGAGAUUUUGAGAAUGAGGAUGAAGGAGUCUGGGACCAUCAAGCAGUACUCAGACAGGAUAAUGGCCAUUGUCAACAGCAUUAGGCUCCUGGGAGUGGACUUCACAGAGAGCAGAGUUGUUGAAAAGGUCAUCACAACUCUCCCUGAAAAAUUCGAGUAAAAAAUCUCUUCACUUGAGGACUCGAGGGACUUAUCAGCCAUAUCAUUGUCUGAGCUGAUAAACUCCUUGUAUGCACUUGAGCAAAGGAGGGCAAAUAGGUAGGAGGAGAAUCCUGAGGCUGCUUUCCAGGCUAAAGCCAGUGAAGGCUCGAGUGUGAAUGCAAAAGGCAAAAAGUCUUGGCACAAUAGGAAGGCCAAGUCAGGAAGAGAUGAAGCAAAAAGGGUGUUUCCACCAUGUGUUCAUUGUAAGAAGGCAACACAUUCAGAAAAGUAUUGUUGGUUUAGGCCAGAUAUUCAGUGCAGAAAGUGCAAACAGUUUGGCCAUGUGGAGAAGGUGUGCAAGGGCAAACCAAAGGAGGCUGCUCUGCAACAAGCUAGACCUGCUGAAGAUAUGCAAGCUCAAGAGGAGCAUGUAUUCACUGCAACCUAUUUUGUUGGCACAACAAAGGCCAGCAAUGAUUGGCUACUAGACAGUGGCUGCUCACACCAUAUGGCAGCAGAUGAGAAGCUGUUUAAGAGCCUAGACAAAAGUUUCCACUCGAGGAUCAGAAUUGGAGAUGGCAAGCUGAUUGAGGCUAAGGGCAAGGGCAAUGUACUGGUUAGCACUGGUUCAGGUAACAAGCUGAUCUCUGAUGUGCUCUUUGUACCAGACUUAGAUCAGAACCUACUUAGUGUAGGCCAAUUGGUUGAAAAAGGCUAUACUUUGGUCUUUAAAAAUAGUUGUUGUAUUGUUCAAGAUAUGAAUGGUCUGGAGCUAGUCACAGUCUCUAUGACUGAUAGGUGCUUUAUGCUAGAUGUUAGCCAAGUAGAAAGAAAGGCAUGCACUAGUCUUGUUGAUAGUACAAACUUGAGGCAUAGGAGAUUAGGCCAUGCCAAUUUCAGAUCCAUUGAUCUGUUGCAUAAACUGAAUUUGGUUGAUGAUAUUUCAAAAAUUGAGGUUAGUGGAAAUGUUUGUGAAGUUUGUCAGCUUGGUAAGCAAGCGAGACUGCCUUUUCCUACUAACAGUGUUUGGAGAGCUCAACAUAAGCUCGAAUUGGUGCACUCUGAUGUUUGGGGCCCUAUGAGAACAUCUUCAAUCAGUGGCAACAGGUAUUUUGUCCUAUUUAUAGAUGAUUUAACAAGAUUAUGCUGGGUCUACUUCUUGAAGCAGAAGUCAGAAGUGUUUGAAGCCUUCUACAAAUUCAAGGCUUAUGCUGAAAAUCAGUUAGGCUGCAAAAUUAGAGCCUUGAGGACUGAUAAUGGCUCUGAAUAUGUGUCUGAGAGAUUUCAGAAGCUUUGUGACACUGCUGGAAUUCAUCAUCAGCUUAUCACAGUUUAUACUCCUCAGUAGAAUGGAGUUUGUGAAAGGAAAAAUAGGACUGUGCUGAACAUGGCUAAGUGUCUCUUGUUUCAAAGCAAGCUUCCAAGUCAGUUUUGGGCUGAGGCAGUCAACACCUCAGUGUACUUGCUCAAUAGGCUGCCAACUCGAGCAGUCAAGGAUAAAACACCUUUUGAGGCUUGGCAUGGAGUCAAACCAAUUGUGACACACUUGAAAGUGUUUGGAUGUGUGUGUUAUGCUCUUAUUCCAGUAGAGAAGAGGACCAAGCUUGAGAGCAGGGCUACAUCAGGAAUUUUUGUAGGCUAUAGCAGCAACAAGAAGGGUUAUAGGGUGUAUGAUCCUACAGCAAAGAAGGUCUCAGUCAGCAGGGAUGUAAAGUUUGAUGAGGAAAAGGUGUGGAAUUGGAAUGGUGCUGAAGCUGACAUGUCUGAAAUGGACCAGUUGGACUUGGUUAUUGAACCUAUGGAAGAGGGACCAGGAGAAGAUGCUGUGGAUGACACACCAGUGUGGGGAACCAGAACUUUAACUGAUGUCUAUCAGAGGUGUAAUGUUGCUGUAAUUGAGCCUUCAGACUUUGAAGAGGCUGUCAAAGACAGAAGAUGGAUGAAAGCUAUGGAAGCUGAGCUGGAAAUGAUCAACAAAAAUCAAACAUGGGAAUUGGUGAGCAUACUAGAACACAAGAAGGUCAUAAGAGUUAAAUGGGUGUACAGGGCUAAGUACAAUGCUGAUGGCUCACUGAACAAGCACAAGGCCAGGCUUGUGGUGAAGGGCUACAGUCAGCAAUAUGGUGUGGACUUCUUGGAGACAUUUGCACCAGUAGCCAGACUGGAUACAAUCAAGCUAUUAUUUGCUUUAGCAGCUCAGAAGCAGUGGAGAGUUCAUCAAUUGGAUGUGAAGUCAGCAUUUCUAAAUGCCUUUCUCAAGGAGGAGAUCUUUAUUGAGCAACCUAAAGGUUUUGAAGUUGCUGGACAUGAGGACAAAGUGUACAAGUUGAGGAAGGCCCUUUAUGGCCUGAAACAAGCACCAAGGGCCUGGUAUGACAGAGUUGAUGCUUACCUGACCAAGCUUGGAUUUGUGAAGAGUCUUAGUGAGCCUACUCUGUAUGUUAAAAGGUCAGAAUUUGAAACCUUGCUGAUUGUCUCCUUGUAUGUGGAUGAUUUGUUAGUGACAGGGAGCAAGGUUGAGCUCAUUGAUGAGUUCAAGGUUCAAAUGCAGCAAGUAUUUGAGAUGACAGACUUGGGAAUCAUGACAUACUUCCUUGGUAUGGAAGUGCACCAAUCUGAUCGAGGCAUCUUCAUCAGCCAACACACAUUUGCCUUGAAGAUCCUUGAUAAAUUUUGUAUGCAUAACUGUAAAGCAGUUAGCACACCAGUGGCUCAAGGAGAAAAGUUGACAAGCAGUGGUGAUCAGCAAAGGGUGGAUGAAAGACACUAUCGAAGCCUAGUAGGUUGCCUGUUAUAUUUGACAGCAACCAGGCCAGACAUCAUGUAUGGUGUUAGUCUGCUAUCGAGGUUCAUGCACUGCUGUAAUGAGACACAUUUGAAGGCUGCAAAAAGGGUUCUUAGAUACAUCAAAGGGACAGCUAACCUUGGGGUAAUGUUUGAAAGUGGAAAAAAACUGAAAUUGGAAGGUUAUUCUGACAGUGACUGGGCAGGAUCCCUUGAUGACAUGAAGAGUACUUCUGGAUACUUCUUCACACUUGGAUCAGGCAUGUUUUGCUGGAGCUCAAAGAAGCAACAAACUGUUGCUCAGUCCACAGUUGAAGCAGAGUACAUUGCUGCAGCAGUCAAUCAGGCCAUUUGGCUUAGAAAAUUGCUUCAUGAUCUCAAUGAAAUACAAGCUGAUGCAACUAAACUUUGGGUGGACAACCAGUCAGCAGUUGUCAUAGCCAAGAACCCUGUGUUUCAUGGUAAAACUAAACAUUUUAAAAUAAAGUUGCAUUCUGUUAGAGAGGCUGAACAAGCAAAGGAAGUCAGCCUUGUGCAUUGUGGCUCGGGGGCACAAUUGGCUGACAUACUGACCAAGCCCUUAGGAGCUAGUCGAUUUGAAUUAUUGAGAAAUGCAAUUGGAUUGUGUUGCAUAUAGUCCAAGGAGGAGUGUUGAGAGCUGGACUGCAAUGCAACAUGAAGCCAGCAGUAAGCUACUGUCGAGACCAGCAGCACCUACAGAGCUCAGCUCAUUUUGCUUGGUGUGCAAGAAUGAUUUUUGGACCGAAUGAAGCAACCAACAUUGUUGUUUUGUUUUGAUGUAAUUUGGUCUGGUUCAAUCUUAGUUUGCUUGUAAUGUUAGUAGAAGUUAAGUUAGUGAUAAGAUCUUUUGAUGUAAUGGCUGAUUGGUCAGCUAUAUUUGAUUAAUUUUUAGCUAGUGACUAGGUUUGUAUUAGUUGGGGAAAUUAAAUACAUUAGGUAACUGUCAAUGUAUAUUGUAACUUUUUUUAUAUUUCAAUAUUGAAUGAAAAAUUAGUAAUGUUCAGUUACAAUUUUUUCUGAGUGUUCAAACUUUGUUCACUGCUUUUGUUUUGCUUUUCUUUUUGCUUCGAUUCCUCUUGCUUCUGUUUGCAAAUCUGUUUGGUGUUUGCUGCCAUUGUUCCAACAUACCUUAGCUAACAUGAAUAUAAAUUAGAAAUCAUGAACUGAAAUAUUAUAUAGAUAUAUAUAUAUUUACCAACUUUCAAAGGAAAUAUGAAACAUAAAUCAAUGGGUGAACAAAUCAUUGAAGUAAAAUGCAGAUAGUAUUGAGAUGCAAUAUGAUUAAAUCUCUACUUGCUGCCUAUGGCAUGAGUACCAAUGGUGGAACCUAACCAAUUAAGCUAAAUGAUGUCCAUCACUGAUCCUAUGAAUCAAAACCAGCCAAUAACAAGUCACCUGUCAAAAAGAAUUCAAGUAUGAAUCUUAAUCUCUCCUCACUACAAUGCUCAAACAAUAUCAGAGCAGUAACAUAAAAACACACCAUUACCUUCAUCACCUAACGAAUCAAACUGAUAUAAAUAUUGAUCUGCAAAGGAAACUUUUUCUAAUGAUGUGCAGUCCUCUACAUUCAAUUCGAGCAGAUAUGGUGGAAGCUCUAAGAGUAAUUUGAGGCUCUUGCAACGAUCCAUAUGCAUAUACCUAAGGCUUUUAAACCUCAAGCUUGGUGAGCGCACGUCAACAGUUGGAAAUUUAACGAUUGGACAACCACUAAGAUCUAGAACUUCAAGGGAUUUCAACUUUGAAAUAUUGCUUGAUACAUCUUUUACCAUUGAGUCUGCCAAGGUCAACCGUAGAAGUCUGUCGAGAUGCUCAAGGAAAUCAGGUACUUCUUUUAUUCCGGUUUGUAAUAAAUCUAACUCAUAAAAGUUAUUUGGGAUCUCCGGAAACUUCUUGAGACUGCGACAUCCCUUAAGGUGAAGGGUUUUAAGUGAUGUCAAAUGGUCGAGGCGAGGAAGUUCGACCAAACUUUCGCAUUUUUCACAGUCUAGUCUUUCAAGGUUGACGGCUCCUAAUAAAUUAGGGAUCUUCUUUAAAUUUUUGCAUCUGAAAAGUUUAAUUUUUCGUAAAUGAACAAGAUCCUGCAGAUAAUGAGAACAUAAAGUAGUUAGAGCAUCAUUUACUUAGACUAUCAAAACUGGUGUUACUUGCACGCCACAUUAUCUUUUUGAAGAAAGCAAUGAGUUUCAAACUCUGAAGAGAGUUUUUUAUAUACAGCCUCAGCAAGGGUUGUUUUGCCUUGUCCACCCAUUCCCCAAAGUCCUAUUACACGACAGUCUUUUUGCUUAAUCAGCUUCAAAAUCGUCCUUUUCUGAUAUUCUAUUCCAACCAAUUCUUCAGAAACACUUUCAAACCCAAUAUUCGUCAACUUUUUUAUAACGUAUUCAACAACAUCUUUAAUGUACUUGGUUUCAGGUCUAGAAAACAAUAAAAAAUGUAAAUAAGUAAAUAUGAAAUCUAAAACAAAGAUAAGUUGAAAAUAACAAGAUGAGAAAAAUAUAAUUACUUGUCAAAUUUGCCUCCUUCUAUAUGCCACCCUUUUAAUUUACCAACCUCUGCAAAAGCAGUUUUCCAUUGUUGUACUCUAUCAGCUGGUUGCUCUGAUUCAUGCUCUUCGAAGGAUGUCUUAAAAUGCCCACCACUAUUUCGCACAUCGGAAGGAUCAACAUGGUAAAAGACGGGAAGAACAAUAUGUUUGUCAGUGGGAUUGUGCUUGCGAUCCAUGAUGUCAGAAAGUUCACCUAAGCAUGAUUUUG
rnacentral:lncRNA from 1 species